GGCCUGUAAAGAUCUACAACUAGACAGUUGUGAGAAGCGGGAGCAACGUCCUGCCAUGCAAUACCACCAAGCAAGUGGCUGAAAGUGAAAUUGCUGGCUUGAAUAAAUUGUGUACCAUAUGAUGGCAGGACUGGUUGCUCAAGUUAAUGACAGAGCCUGUAAGCUAGCAUUUCUGUGCACUCUGCCCUGGAUAUAUAAAGUUUGUGCAGAGAUGACCCAACAAACCAUCACCUUUUAGUAGAUAAGGAGGCUAUUUUUCUUUUCUUGCACUAGGUGCUCUAUACAGUCAAAUAGUUGGUUAUAGGAGAAGUUCAUGUACAGCGACAACAACAAAGUUCAUGUUGUCAGAAAAUAAAGUCCAUGUAUAUGGAAGUUGAUGAUUGUUGUUUGUAUGCAGGGGGGCACAAAAAAACCUGUGGCUGACAAGUUUUCCUAUUAUUUAGCCGCAACAAUCUUUCUUGACCUCUUUGACAAUCUUUUACCUUGUUAUAUCUUGCAGAUAGUCGAUUGAAGAGUGUUUUCCUUGAGAGUGGAACCUCAGAGGUAAUAAAAUAUGGACAACACCUUCGACAUGGCAAUAUCUUCUUGCAACUUCUACUGAACUUAAUACCAAGAUAGUAGCCAUUCUUUCAACUUCUGGACUUCAUUUUUAAGAGCCAUUCUAGAUUCCUAACAACAUCUCUACAAUAUUUCAGGAAUUCUCGCUUCUUCUUCCACAGCUCGAGAGAUCAAAGGCCAUUGUCGACAAAGCUAAGCUCAAGAGUGCAACUUCAGUCGAAGAUAUGCAUUAGAGACCUUUAUUAUGAAAACCCACAUCCAAUUAUAUAUCAGGAUCUUUCCAACACAUAGUGCUUGCCAAAGGAUAAAGUGUAAAAAGGAACGGUGAAGAUCACCAUGAGUUUUGUAUAAGGUAUAAGACAAAAAUAAAAGAUAGUCCCUUCGCAGAGGGAAGCAGAGGUUGCCAUGUGCUUUUAUGGUUGGAUGCACAAAAUCUUAAUGUAAAAGAACGUCACUUUAUAUUGCCAUUUGUGAUAGGGACCUUUAUUAUGUAGUCCGUCGCUUUUUAUUUCUUCCAUAUCACAAGCUCGUAUAAAGCUUAUUUUCUCCACACUAAUAGAUCAUACAUAUUUAGAGAGCAAUUUUUAUUGCUUGCAACAAUGACAACUUACUUGAAGGAUCUUAUUCAAUCCAUAUGUAGAUAUGGUGGACUCUCAUGGCAAAACUGGGUUUAAGGAUAUUUGGAAGCACAAGUAGUAUCUCUACUUGGUGCAAAGAAUUUGGCUAGAAUGAGGGGGAAAGGCAAGCUCAACAUGUUGGAUGAUCCAUGACAAUAUAAUUUAUUUCGGAUAUAAGAAAACAUAACCCAUUACGUUGUCUUCCUUGUCCAACAUCAACUUUUUAGCAUGUCAUAUUUUAAUAAGUGCUCACAAUCAUAAAAGAUGUCCAAGAUAGUAUAUUUAUAUCUGAAAACCUCUCUUUCUUUAUAACUUCAUAUUAAUUGCAACGAUGACCAAAACUAUGUUUGUCAGCUCUCAACAACUUUUAUUCAUCAUACUCUUUAUAUGUGAAGUCAUUACUCUCCAUAAGAUCAAUAUGAUCUCUUUAUUUCUUUUUAUUCUUUUUAUUCUUUUAUUCCCUCAAGAUCAUAGCAAGAUAACCAAGCCCUCGACUUAAGACUAAUAUUUAUUAUAUAUAGCUCACGGACUCGAUUACAUAGAUAAGGAUCAACACAAAACUCAAAGCUAGAUCAUACUAAACUUUAUUCUACUAGAUCAAGAUAUAACCAAAAGGAUCGAACUAAGAAAAACGGUAAAGGUAGAAGUGUGAUGGUGAUACGAUACCGGGGCACCUCCCCUAAGCUUGGAAGUUGUCAAGGGGAGUGCCCAUACCCACGUAUUUAUGUCUCUUUCUUCGGAGGUGGUGAUGAUGGAGUUGUUGAUGAUGUAGGCUUGUCGCCCAUCUUCCAAGGCAUAGGCUCACCAUCAUAGAAGGAUGAUCGAGUCUUCGGGAUCCUCAAAUCUGCAACCAAACUCAUCCUCUUGAAUCUAUAUUCAUACUCACACUUUUGGUUUUGCAGGUCAUAGAUCUGGGCUUGGAGGUGCUUGAUUUUCUCGUGAAGCUUGAAGAUGAUCUCCCCAAUGUUCUUGGCAUCCAGCUUGUGGUUGUUGGUGAACUCCGCGAUCAUCAUGUGGUUGGCGUUGAGUCCGUGUUCCACCAUCCCCUAGCACUUGAAAACUUGUUGCUCCAUUUGCUUCGAGUCUUGUCUCCACGCUUUCGGUCCUCCUUGGUCCCUCAACAUCGCGAAUGUGCAGCACCACCUCACGCAUCUCAAUGGUUUGAGGGUGUUGCAGCACCUCCGCGAGGUAGGGGUUGAUGACCUUCUUGAAAAAUUUGUCCUUGGGGGCGGUUGAAGACGUCAUGGUGAUCUAGAUCUGUCAGAAAAAACAGCUCGUAACAAAAGCAGGAGAUAUUUGCGUGGUACGAUGGUCAAAACCUUCGGAAGAUUAUAUAAUGAAUUUUUGCCGACCAAAAGAAGUAUGUGCAAGAAAACGGAGUCCGGAGGGCACACGAGGUGCCCAUGACGCAGGGGGCGCGCCCUCCACCCUCGUGGAUGCCUCGUGUCCCUUUCGGACUACUUCUUAUUUUCCCAUUUUCUUAAAUAUUCCAAAACGAAGAAAAAAUGCUAUUAGAACUGUUUUGGAGUCGGUUUACUUACCGUACCACAUACCUAUUCCUUUUCGGAGUCUGAAACGUUCUGGAAAGUGUCCCUUAUGUACUCCUCUGGGGUUACCAUAUCAAUAACAUUGGUUUCAACAUUUAUGGGAUUACCGAGAUAUAAUGAUUGAUUCUUUGAUCGUUCACCACCUUUGGAUUUGUGCCUUCAAAGUUGUUGAUUUUUAUGGCACCGGAAUGACAGACCUCCUCGAUAAUGUAAGGAAAUUCCCAUUUAGAGAGGAAUUUUCUUGCAAAAAAAUCUUAAAUGAGAGUUGUAUAACAAAACAUAAUCACCUACAUUAAACUCACGCUUUUGUAUCCUUUUGUCAUGCCAUCUUUUAACUUUUUCUUUAAAUAGCUUGGCAUUCUCAUAGGCCUGGGUUCUCCACUCAUCAAGUGAGCUAAUGUCAAAUAGUCUCUUCUCACCAGCAAGUUUGAAAUCAUAAUUGAGCUCUUUAAUGGCCUAAUAUGCCUUAUGUUCUAGUUCGAGAGGUAAGUGACAUGCAUUUCCAUAAACCAUUUUAUACAGAGGCAUACCCAUAGGAUUUUUAUAUGCAGUUCUAUAGGCCCAUAAUGCAUCAUCAAGUUUCUUGGACCAAUUCUUUCUAGAUCUAUUAAUAGUCUUUUGCAAAAUUAAUUUAAUCUCUUUAUUACUCAGUUCUACUUGACCACUAGACCGUGGGUGGUAUGGAGAUGCAAUUCUAUGAUUAACAUCAUACUUAGCAAGCAUUUACGAAAAGCACCAUGAAUAAAAUGUGAAUUGCCAUCAGUCAUUAAGUAUCUAGGGACUCCAAACCUCGGCAAAAUAACUUCUUUAAGCAUCUUAAUAGAGGUGUUAUGAUUAGCACUACUAGUUGGAAUAGCUUCUACCCACUUAGUAACGUAAUCAACAACAACUAAAAUAUGUGUAUACCCAUUAGAGGAAGGAAACGGUCCCAUAUAAUCAAAGCCCCAAACAUCAAAUGAUUCAAUAGUAAGUGAAUACUUCAUAGGCAUUUCUUGACGUUUACUAAUAUUACCAAUUCUUUGACAUUCAUCACAAGACAAGACAAACUUACGGACAUCUUUGAAAAGAGUAGGCCAAUAAAAACCGGAUUGCAAUACCUUAUGUGCAGUUCUAUCUCCAGCAUGGUGUCCUCCAUAAGCCUCAGAGUGACACUUGCGUAUGAUCUGUUCCUGUUCAUGCUCAGGUACACAAUGUCUAAUAACACCAUCUACUCCUUCUUUAUAAAGGUGCGGGCCAUCCCAGAAGUAAUGUCUUAAAUCAUAGAAAACCUUUUUCUUUUGCUGGUAUGUGAAACUAGGUGGUAUAAAUUUAGGAACAAUGUAAUUAGCAUAAUCAACAUACCAUGGAGCAGUACGAGAAGCAUUUAUGACAGCUAAUUGUUCAUCAGGAAAACUAUCAUCAAUAGGGAGUGGGUCAUCGAGAACAUUCUCUAACCUAGACAAGUUGUCUGCAACGGGGUUCUCAGCUCCCUUUCUAUCAAUAAUAUGCAAAUCAAAUUCUUGUAGCAAGAGAACCCAUCUAAUAAGUCUAGGUUUAGCAUCUUUCUUUCCCAUAAGAUAUUUAAUAGUAGCAUGAUCAGUGUGAAUAGUUACUUUAGAAUCAACAAUAUAAGGUCUGAACUUAUCACAAGCAAAUACAACUGCCAAAAAUUCUUUUUUAGUAGUAGCAUAAUUUCUCCGAGCACUGUCUAGAGUUUUACUAGCAUAUUGGAUAACAUUUAAUUUCUUAUCAACUCGUUGUCCUAGAACAACACCUACAUCAUAAUCACUAGCAUCACACAUAAUUUCAUAGGGUAAAUUCCAAUCUGGUGGCUAAACUAUAGGUGCAUAAAUCAAGGCUCUCUUAAGUAUUUCAAAUGCUUCAACACAAUCAUCAUCAAAGACAAAAGGAACAUCUUUUUGUAAGAGAUUAGCCAGAGGCCUAUAAAUUUUUGAGAAGUCUUCAAUAAACCUCCUAAAAAACUGGCAUGACCAAGGAAACUUAUUAUACCUUUAAUGUCCUUGGGACACGACAUAUUUUUAAUAGCAUCAACUUUAGCUUUAUCAACUUCAAUACCUCUUUCAGAAAUUUUAUGCCCCAAGACAAUCCCUUCAUUAACCAUAAAGUGGCACUACUCCUAAUUCAAGACAAUAUUAGCUUCUUCACAUCUCUGCAAAACUCGAUCAAGGUUGCUUAAGCAGUCAUCAAAAGGAGUUCCAUACACGGAGAAAUCAUCCAUGAAAACCUCAACAAUCUUUUCACAAAAGUCAGAGAAUAUAGCAGUCAUACAUCUUUGAAAGGUAGUAGGUGCAUUGCAUAAACCAAAAGGCAUACGUCUAUAAGAAAAGGUACCGAAAGGGCAAGUAAAAGUAGUCUUUUCCGAUCCUUUUUAGACAUAGGUAUUUGAAAGAAACCAGAAUAACCGUCUAGAAAGCAAAAAUGUGUAUGUUUGGAUAAUCUUUCUAGCAUUUGAUCAAUAAAAGUUAAAGGGUAAUGAUCCUUUCUAGUAGCUUUAUUUAAUUUGUGGAAAUCAAUUACCAUUCCAUAACCUGUAACAAUUCUUUGUGGGAUCAAUUCAUCUUUAUCAUUAGGAACAACAGUAAUACCUCCCUUCUUAGGGACACCAUGGACAUGACUUACCCACUGACUAUCAGCAACAUGAUAAAUUAUACCUGCCUCCAGAAGCUUUAGUAUUUCAUUUCUUACCACUUCUUUCAACUUAGGAUUUAACUGUCGUUGGUGAUCAACAACCGGUUUAGCAUCUUUCUCAAAUUUUAUUUUGUGCUGGCAUAGAGUGGGACUAAUGCCCUUAAGAUCAUCAAGAGUAUAUCCAAUAGCAGCACGGUGCUUCUUCAGAUUUUUCAAUAAUUUCUCUUCUUCCUGCUCUAAAAGGUUAGCACUAAUAAUAACAGGAUAUAUCUUCUUUUCAUCAAGAUAAGGAUAUUUAAAAGUAUCAGAUAAUGGUUUAAGCUCAAACACGGGAUCACCCUUGGGUGGAGGAGGAUCCCCUAGAAUUUCAAUAGGCAAGUUGUGUUUCAAAAUAGUUCCCUGUUUAAAGAAUACUUCAUCUAUUUCCCUUCUUUCAUUCAUAAACAUAUCAUUUUCAUGGUCUAGCAAAUAUUGUUCUAAAGGAUCAUUAGGAGGCACGACAAUAGAAGCAAGACCAAUAAUUUCAUCUUUACUAGGCAAUUCUUUAUCAUGGGGUUGCCUACAAAAUUUAGCAAAAUUAAAAUCAUGAGACAUAUCCCCUGAACCAACAGUAGCAAUAUCCUUUUUGCAGUCUAUCUUAGCACUAAUAGUAUUCAAGAAGGGUGUACCAAAUAUAAUUAGACAAAAGUCAUCUUGUGGGGAACCAAGAACAAGAAAAUCAGUAGGAUAUUUAACUUUCCCACACAAGACUUCAACAUCUCUAACAAUCCCAAUUGGUGAAAUAGUAUCUCUAUUGGCAAGCUUAAUUGUAACAUCAAUACCUUCUAUCUCAGCAGGUGCAAUAUCAUGCAUAAUUUCUUCGUAUAAGGAAUGAGGUAUUGCACUCGCACUAGCACCCAUGUCACAUAAGCCAUGAUAGCAAUGAUCUCCUAUUUUAAUAGAAAUGACAGGCAUGCCAACAACAAGUCUAUGUUUAUUUUUAGUAUCGGGUCUAGCAAUUCUAGCAGCUUCAUCACAGAAGUAAAUAACAUGGUCAUCAAUAUUAUCGACCAAGAGAUCCUUAACCAUAGCAAUACUAGGUUCAACUUUAAUUUGCUCAGAGGGUGUAGGUGUUCUAGCAUUACUCUUACAAACCAUAGUUGAAGCUUUAGCAUGAUCCUUUAUUCUAACAGGGAAAUGUGGUUUCUCAAUAUAAGCGGUUGGAAUAAUAGGAUCAACAUUAUAAGUGAUAGUCUUUUCUUCAACUUUAAUAGGUUUGACUACUUUUACUUCAACGGGAGGAUGAUAUUUAAACCACUUCUCCUUAGGGAGAUCAACAUGAGUAGCAAAUGAUUCACAGAAAGAAGCUACUAUCUCAGAGUCAAGUCCAUAUUUAGUGCUAAAUUCACGAAAAGCAUCGGUAUCCAUAAAAGAUUUAACACAAUCAAACUUAGGUGUUAUACCUGACUCCUUACCUUCAUCGAGUUCCCAAUCUUUAGAGUUGCGUUUAAUUCUUUCCAAUAAAUCCCAUCUGAAUUCAGUAGUCUUCAUCAUAAAAGAAGCAGUACAAGAAGUAUCGAGCAUGGAGCGAUUAUUAAGAGAAAGCCGAGCAUAAAUUUUUUGAAUAAUAAUUUCCCUUGAGAGCUCAUGAUUGGGGCAUGAAUAUAACAUUAACUUAAGCCUCCCCCAAGCUUGAGCGAUACUUUCUCCUUCGCAAGGCCAAAAAUUAUAUAUAUAUAAUUAUGAUCACGAUGAACCAGAAGCAUAGGAUAAAACUUCUGAUGAAAUUCCAAUUUCAAUCGGUUGUAGUUCUAUGAUCCAAUAUCAUCACAUAGCCUAAACCAUGUCAAUGCCUUUCCCUUCAAAUAUAAAGGGAAGACCUUCUUCUUGAUAACAUCCUUGGGCAGACCUGCAAGCUUAAAUAAUCCACAAACUUCAUCCACAUAGAUUAGGUGCAUAUCGGGAUGUAAUGUUCCAUCUCCUGUAAAAGGAUUAGCUAGCAGUUUCUCUAUCAUACCCGAAGGAAUUUCAAAGUAAACAUUUUCAGUAGGUUCAAUAGGUUGAGGAGCAACUCUUUGCUCUACUGGUCGGGGUGAAGAUACCCUAAACAAGCCCCUCACAGGAUUAUUUUCCAUAGUAACAAGUGAUAGUAAAUUUCAGCACACUAUAUAUAUUUUUCCUUACCAAAUUGCACCUACCAAAGGCGCUUCACUCCCCGGCAACGGCGCCAGAAAAGAGUCUUGAUGACCCACAAGUAUAGGGGAUCUAUCGUAGUCCUUUAGAUAAGUAAGAGUGUUGAACCCAAUGAGGAGCAGAAGGAAAUGACAAGAAGUUUUCAGUAAGGUAUUCUCUGCAAGCACUGAAAUUAUCGGUAACAGAUAGUUUUGUGAUAAGGUAAUUCGUAACGGGUAACGAGUAACAAAAGUAAAAAAGGUGCAGCAAGGUGGCCCAAUCCUUUCUGUAGCAAAGGACAAGCCUGGACAAACUCUUAUAUAAAGGAAAGCGCUCCCAAGGACACAUGGGAAUUAUCGUCAAGCUAGUUUUCAUCAUGCUCAUAUGAUUCGCGUUCGUUACUUUGAUAAUUUGAUAUGUGGGUGGACCGGUGCUUGGGUACCGCCCUUCCUUGGACAAGCAUCCCACUUAUGAUUAACCCCCCUCGCAAGCAUGCGCAAAUACGAAAGAAGCAUUAAGAUAAACCUAACCAUAGCAUGAAACGUAUGGAUCCAAAUCUGCCACUGUUGAUGAGUUGCAAAUGGGCACAGAUUUCCCACAUCCUUUUAAUAUGAUCUUGCUCUGCACAGUCAUACUUCGCACAAAACUCUUGCCAAUUUGCAACUCAUCAAUAGUGGCAGAUUGCAUCAGUACAAUUUUCAUUUCUUCUUCCAUUCCUUCCCUCAAAGCCAUGUAUGCACCCAUGUUAUCCUUCAUAUUCUUCAGCACGUGCCAUAUGCAGAACCUAUGGAGAGAAUCUCCGAAUACUCGAGGAACAUCCACUUUCAUUGUUGAAUCUUGAUCAGUCAAGACUAUCCCUGGUUUCUGGCCUUGCAUGACUUCUACAAAAGUCUCAAACAACCAUGUGAAAGUAUCUGCUUUCUCAUUUUGCAAUAGCGCCCAACCAAACACUAUUGUUCGCCCAUGUCAAUUGAUUCCAACAAUCGAUGAAAAUGAUAUGUUGUACUUGUUAGUGCUAUAGGUUCUGUCAAAGGAUAUGAUUUCUCCAUACAACUUGUAGUCCAAUCUGAACCGAGCAUCUGUCCAGAAAAUGCUUCGCACAGUGUCAUCAUCACCUAUUUGCAUCUUAUAGAUGAAACCAGGGUUCUCAUGCUGCAACUUCUCGGUAUACUGCCGAGUCCACUCAAUAUCUAUGUUCUUCAUCUUCUUUAUCCGCUCAUCCUGUUUCAGGCUAUCAAGAUUUUUUAUUUAAAAUUUCAAAUUACCAAAGUUCCCACCACGCAGCCUCCUAAAUAUGCUCAUAAUUCUUCGUGGUUUCACCCUAUUUUCUUGCAGCAACUUAGACAGGAGUAUUUCUUCUUCACUCAUGUGUUUAUAGCUGAGGAAGAAUUUGGUGAGUGAAGGCGAGCUCACAAAGCUAUGGUUAUGUUCCAGACAAACAUACAUAAUGAACCAUUUCCCUUCAUUUAGCUUCACUGUCACAUUCAUAGGGCAGUUUGUUCUCUCGAUUACACUCCUCUUCCUUUUCCUAAUACCCGAGUUGGUUUCACAUGUCUUCCUACUCUUGAAGCACUGUAUAGUGAUCUUCCUCUACUUGUAGUUUCUUCCUUUUUUCAUUGCAAAACCAUUCAUCUGUGCAUAUACAUUCACAAAUUUGACUACCUCAUCUAGCUUAGAGAAAACCAUGCCAACAGCGGGUGUACUUGACUUCUCCAAUUCAUCUGGUGUAGGGAAUACAUAUUCUUCCUUCCCAUUGCAUGCUCCAAUUUCAUCACCAGAAUCUUCAUUUUCAGAUAGAUGCUCAGCAUUUGAAUUCCCAACAAGAUCAACUAACUACAAGAAAAAAAAGAACACAAUCACAGAAUUCUAUGUCAGAUUUCCUAUCAUGCUAACUUCUAACUUUUUGUGUGCACCAACCAGAUCAAGAAAAAACAUACUAUUUUCUUUGCUUCUACAUUUUUAUUCAAAGUGUGUGCUAUACCUGUUCGCAAAAUUGUUCUGAUGUAUGUGAUGUAGAAACUAUUACACUGAAUCCAUUAUCAGAAACACUAGCCUGCAUCAAAUGAACACUUUCGUUCAAACAUAAUGUGCAUUUAAUUCCUCAACAUAAGUCCAAUUUAUGAUACAAGAUUACAAUAAAGGCAUGAUUUACCUUGUCAACAGCCUUAGAUUGCUGUCUCCCAUUCACAACAGCUAGUUCAAUAUUAGUAGCAACUUCCUACAAUUUUUACAUUUUCUUUGUUAAUUUAACAACUAUGAAUCUGGACAUUUCCAAUUAUUUACAAUAAAACAAACAGUAAAAAACACUAUCAGGUUCCUAGCUGGAGUAUAAAACUUACUUUCAGAGACCCAUGAAUACAAAGUUCUUCCACCAUUACAGGAAUGGUAUCACUAAUGUCUUCGGUUACAAUCAAAUCACGGUUAUGAGUAUUUUCUUCCUGAGUGCCACAAUAAGAACCACCAUAACUUUUGCUUACACCUUCCUGACUGCUUAUGAUUACCUGUUUUUUUAAAGACCAUCAUAUCUAUCAAUCAAAGGUCAAUGGCACAUGAAAAUGGAAAUUGCAUUUUGGUAAUCCCAAAGAACUUGUUAAGCUAGCCUCAGCUUCUUUUCUCAUCGACUGAUGCAAUACGUACUGAUCAAAUUCAGCCAUGAAAACAUCAUCUUUUUCCUGCAAAUUUGUUUUUCAUCCAUCAGAGUAAGUUCUUCUCUAAAGUUACUAAUAGCUACAAUGAAUUUUCAAAACUUUGAAACUUUAGAAACUAGAGUUUUGGAUAUAACGUCAUUUUCUUCCUAGUACUUCUUUUUGCUGGUUUCCCAAGUUUGGCUUCUCCAGAUGCCAUUUUUUCGCUUCAUCAUUUGAAAAUCAUCAAAAAUGCUUUAAUGAAUUUUCCUGUGACAUAUGCUACAGAACAACACAACAUGUACUGAUAAGUGAACAGUACCAUUUAAUCAUUUUCAGUACAAAUCAUUUCACGUUUAAUUCUGAUAAAUCAUAGAGAACAACAAAAUUGUUUACAUAUUAGUUAUUUUAGACUAUGUUUUAUGAUACUAUUCGUUUUGUUUCAAGCAUUGUCCAUUCGUUCAAAUUAAAUAUGAACAGAGUCAAACAUGUCAUGUGACAGUUCUACUUCGGACUACGGAAACGAUAUCAACCUUUUGCAUUUUCUUGGGCAUUCCAUUAGCCUGUCUGAGAGAUUGAGUUAUUGUCUAUAUUUUUCAAUCUGUAAGAUGGUGACACUACUAUGAAUGAGACAAAGAAUCCAACAAGAUUUUUCACCAUCUUAACUUACAUUCAAGACCAUCUUCACCUUUCUUUUUCUUCUUCUUACCCUGUUUGCUGACUGAACUAGGUGAUAGUUCAUUAUGAUUCAUGGUUGAUUGAACUGUUGAAUAACCAAAGUUUUGUCAAAAACAGACAUGAGCACAUUUAUCUGGAACACGAAGAAAAUUAACUAGAAGAAUAUCUUUUUUCACUACUAUCUUGAAGAAAUUCUAAUGCACUUCAUAUUUUAUUUACCUAGUAGGUGCUCGUACCGCGGCGGAGAUGCUCUUCUUCUUCGGCGAUGGUUGUCUACCUUCAAUCCUCGCCAGCCGUAGCCACAACCCCCCUUGUCCGCCGCUUUCCUGCCUCAAACCUAGCCGGCGGACACACACGCGUGCCUUGUGCGCGCCGCCAGCACGGCCUGCGGUGCCUCGCAGAGAGAGGAUGAGGACGUUUUUCUUUACAUUUUUUUCUAGGGUUACCUGUUUUUAUCUAUCCAAAUAAUACUAACAUGUCCAACCGACAGCUGGGGUCCACCCCACAAUAGGCGGAGCCUGGUACUUGUGUCCGCACUUUCCCCUCUCUCGCUCUUCCCCAUUUCCUCCAUUUUCUCUCGACAGCACCGUCGCCUGCCUCUAUUUCUCUGGAAACCACCGUCGCCCACCUCCAUACCAUCGGCAUCAACUUGAAGACCUAUCUUCCUAAGAUCCAUCAGGUCAAUUUCUUAAAUAGUCCUCCUCUUUUAUGUCUAAGUUUUGUUCCUCCUCUGCAUAUGCUCAGAUCUGGUAGAUUCUAAUCCACUAGAUCUUGGUGUGCCCAUUUUUUCUGGUUGGAAUUUCAGAGAUCAAUUCAUGUUUUUCAGUUUGAUAUGCUGCUUGAUUUUGGGUUCAUCACCAAGCAGUUCAAGCUAGAAACAUCUUACUACAAGAGCGCUCUGUUCUUCACUUCAUCCCCAACUACUUAUAGGAAGAUGUACAACCAAUGCACCUUGAGUUCAUCCCCGAGUAGUUAUAGGAAGAUGUACAACCAGAGCAAAAUAUUUUUAUUCCACGCUUGCUGUUCGACGAAAAUGAGUAAAUGGUUAAAUGCACAAUCAAGGCAAACAACUGUUGGACUAGUCAUUUUACUGUCAGUGCACCAACCAUUUGCUCUCAGUGCCCUCAACAUUGCAACUAUUUUUUUCUUUUCAAAUUAUAUUGCAGAUGGAAGAUGAAAAUAUUAAGGCAAGACAAGGCCAACAACUUGAUAACCAUGAAAUAGUCAACAUUAAUGUUCUAUCAAAAGUUGCCAACACAAAUAAUGUUCAACUUUCUUUCCAAAAAAGCAUCCAUUAUCAUGCUCUACUUUUUUAUAUUUCCCUACUAAAUGUUUUCCCUACUAAAUGUCCUAAGCACAAGUGAUUGGCAUAACAUUUGUAGUUUCUUUUUUAAGCACAUUUGUUACUUAAGUAUUAAGUGAAUCUUUUUCCUCCAUCAAUGCGUCUGUACUAAACUUUAUUCAUUUUCUGCAGAUGUCUACAUCAAAUGAAUCACUUCUAAAGAAGAGGAAUAUCCAAGAACUACAUAUGGCAGAAUUAAGUGAUGACAACAUUUAUAAAAAGAAGAAAGCAAGAACAAUCCGCUAACAUAUUUUCUUAUACUUUCAGUGAUUUUGAAGUAACUCCAUCUGUACAAUCGAAAUCGUCUUUCCGUGCACAUAUUUUCUAAAUAUUCUAAACUUUUUAUUAAAUUACUUCAGGCAGUUAUUCUGGACCAUCUUAAUAUGUUCCUGAUUUUCAUAUCAAAUCUUAUUGACGAUCAAAAGAUGAUAGUACGAAAGCUAGGGUUCGGUUCUAUUCUUCAAAUUUCAUGCAACUCGAAUGUGGAUGAUUUAUUCCACUAGUUAGCUGCCCAGUUCAACACAAGUACAUGCAACAUUGAACUUAAGAAUGGGUUUAAAUUCAAAUUCAUAGAUGAUGUUGUGCACAAAAUUCUGGGCAUUCCAUGUGGAGGAUUACCAAUUCAGACAAUCCCUACCAAUGAAACAGUUCAAUUCAUGAAUACAUUCUUGCAAUCAACUACUCCAACUCCAGAGCAACUAUUCUCACUGAUUACUCCUACCAUAACUGAAGAAGCUUUCUCUAGGAUAUUCUUGCUAUUGAAUCUUUCUAUCCUCAUUGCACCUAACUCAAAGGGACUACCCAGCAAAAAAUUCUUCAGUGCUUUGGUGGACAUAGAUUCUGUUCCCAAAUACAAUUGGUGUCUUUUUGCCCUGUCUUUCUUGAUUCAUCAAAUUAGAAAAUCAGACAUAAGGAUCAACCCCUCAGCCAUGACAGGGGGAUGCAAACUAAUAUUGGUGGUAAGAAUUUUCUUCUUUAACUCUUUCUGAAUUACACUAAUUUGAUUUACUCGUUCAUAAUAUAUUCUCUCUUCAUUGAAUGUUCACUAAUUAGAGUUUUUUGCUGCCCAUUCUUUCAUGCAACAUUUCUAAGGUCAUGCACUUUGAAUUCCUAAUCACAUCUGAAUACAAGAUACCCUCCAACAUUUUCCCAAGGCUUCCAAUGUGGUCAUCAACUAUGCUGAAUGCUUUUUUAGCUCUUGAUACAAUGCCCGGAGAGGAAAAACAGUUUGGGAGGCUGCUAGUAAGAAUUAACCACUUCCAUUCUCUUCUUUCUUCUAAACUGCAGAAUGAAAGUCGCUACUAGUAACAAAGCUCCUUCUUCUUUUACACUACAUCUAAUUUAUUAUUAUUCUAAACUUUUUUGCUUUAUGAAUCAGGAAAAUGCAAGAGUUGAACGUAGCACUCGGAAAUUCUGGCAAACAUUUCUAUCAAAUUCUAUACCAACAAUACAUUCCUACAUUGAUGAGGCACACCAUUGCUUUGGCCCCAAAAUUCCAUCGAAACAGAACAAGAGUGAUGAACUCACCAAAUUUCAUUCUCUUCCAAAUAUGAACUCCAGCAAUACUACAAGUCAUCCUUGUUCAUGCAAGUUGGAAACUGAAAAUCAUCCUGUCCUAGAACUAUUCCUCUCUUCAAUAGAUUUCAUUGAUUUCCCUGGGCCUCACAUUUAUCCAACCACUUUUGAUGAAGAAAACAACAAAAUAUUAGUUGAAUAUCUUAUCCAAAGCAUGUCUGAAUCUCUCCAUAUUGACAAGCAGAUAAAUUUUGACCUACUAUUGCUCAGUGCAUCAACAACUACAUAGGUUAUCCAAAUGGAUGAACAAACACAAGAUGACCUAGGUGGUUCUACUACUUUCCAAGGUAAUCAUUUCUCCAGCAUUUGUUUUUAUCGUUCUUCAUAUGGUCUUCCUUUUUUAAACCCAUCUUUGUAACCUUUUUACGCUUAUACCAGCAAGAACUAAAUCACUUUUUACUAAUUCAAGUAUGUACCUGUUCUUUGUCCAAUAUGAAUACAUAGUGAUUCUUGAAUCAAUGAAGACUGAUCACUCAGUGAGGGAAAAGAUUGGAAAAGAACUUCUACAAUGCAGACAAGAAAAAUUCAGCAUAACUCAGUGGAAAUUUAUCUCAUCUAAUAAAGGCAAUACUACUGUUUUGUUUGUUCAUCAAAACAACUAACAUUUUUUCUUUCUGUACUACUCGAACAUAGUAGUUUAAACUCAUUUUGUGCCAUGUUUCAACAGCUAAUUCAUUAUAUUGCUCAGAAGAUCAAGCAGAAAUACCACCUGACCCGCUAGUUCCUACAGUUGUAGCUAGCCAUAUCUAUGAACAAGCAGAAUAUCAGAGUAACAAGGCUGUUACAAAUAAUACCCAAGUGGGAUAUAGUUGUUCAACAUGAAUCAAUGUUGAACAUGAUAUUCCCUCUUUCAAUAUAUGCUAUAACUGCUGGUCUACAUGAUACACUUCCACAUCAAAUGACUAGUUGCAAUAACGCAAGUCUUUCACUGCCUGCUGGUCCCACCUAUAAUGUUAAUUCUAGUGGCAAGUAUCCACUGUUAUCCAAUCAGAAAACUCCAUUUAUAUAUAGCAAUAGCCCUCUUAGGACUUUCAACAUCAACUCUGGUCAACCAGAAAACAGAUUUGGAACUCCACUUGAUGAUCCAGGAUUAUAUAAACUUCUAGAAGACUUUGAAGCUGAAUGCAAAAUAAAAGAAAUCAUGGAAGGAAAGAAGAAGCUGUUUCAGAAAUUCUCUUCAGCAACAGUUGUUUACCAGAACAAAAACAUGCAGUACCAACAAGUUAUUUUUCUCAAGCCCGGUUCAGUCUGAGUUCUUCAAGACUAUGAACGCAACUCGACCACAUUUGGACUCAAGGUAUUUUACCUGUUUUCGGAUAAUUGCAACUACUUGAUGUUGGGGAACGUAGCAGAAAUACAAAAUUUUCCUACGUGUCACCAAGAUCUAUCUAUGGAGAAACCAGCUACGAGUAGAAGGAGAGUGCAUCUACAUACCCUUGUAGAUCGCUAAGCGGAAGCGUUCAAGUGAACGGGGUUGAUGAAGUCGUACUCGUCGUGAUUCAAAUCACCGAUGAUCAAGUGCCGAACGCACGGCACCUCCGCGUUCAACACACGUACAGCCCGGUGACGUAUCCCACGCCUUGAUCCAGCAAGGAGAGAGGGAGAGGUUGAGGAAGACUCCAUCCAGCAGCAGCACAACGGCGUGGUGGUGGUGGAGGAGCGUGGCAAUCCUGCAGGGCUUCGCCAAGCACCACGGGAGAGGAGGACGACUUGGGAGAGGGGGAGGGCUGCGCCAGAACUUCGUCUGAAGCUCCCAUGCGUCUCUCCACUAUAUAUAGGGGUGGAGGGGCUGGUUUCUUGCCCUCCAAGUCCAUUGGGGCGUUGGCCAAGGUGGGAGGAAAGAAAUCCCAUCAUUUCCUUCCCCACCGAUUGUUAUCCCCCCUUUUUAGGGAUCUUGAUCUUAUCCCUUCAGGAUAUGAUCUUAUUCCUUCUAAGGGGGGAUCUUGGUGUGCCUUGACCAGGGGUGUGGGGCCUUGCCCCCACUACCCACGUUCAUGUGGGUCCCCCCAUGCAGGUGGGCCCCACUCCGGAACCUUCUAGAACCUUCCCGGUACAAUACCGAAAAAUCCCGAACAUUUUCUGGUGGCCAAAAUAGGACUUCCCAUAUAUAAAUCUUUACCUCCGGACCAUUCCGGAACUCCUCGUGACGUUCGGUAUCUCAUACGGGACUCCGAACAACAUUCGGUAACCACAUACAAACUUCCUUUAUAACCCUAGCAUCAUCGAACCUUAAGUGUGUAGACCCUACGGGUUCGGGAGACAUGCAGACAUGACCGAGACGUUCUCCGGUCAAUAACCAACAGCGGGAUCUGGAUACCCAUGAUGGCUCCCACAUGUUCCACGAUGAUCUCAUCGGAUGAACCACGAUGUCAAGGACUUAAUCAAUCCCGUAUUCAAUUCCUUUUGUCUAUCGGUAUGUUACUUGCCCGAGAUUCGAUCGUCGGUAUCCAAUACCUUGUUCAAUCUCGUUACCGGCAAGUCACUUUACUCGUUCCGUAACACAUCAUCCCGUGAUCAACUCCUUGGUCACAUUGCGCAUAUGAUGAUGUCCUACCGAGUGGGCCCAGAGAUACCUCUCCGUUUACACGGAGUGACAAAUCCCAGUCUCGAUCCGCAUAAAACAAUAGAUACUUUCGGAGAUACCUGUAGUGCACCUUUAUAUUCACCCAGUUACGUUGUGACGUUUGAUACACCCAAAGCACUCCUACGGUAUCCAGGAGUUACACGCUCUCAUGGUCGAAGGAAGAGAUACUUGACAUUGGCAAAGCUCUAGCAAAUGAACUACACGAUCUUUUGUGCUAGUCUUAGGAUUGGGUCUUGUCCAUCACAUCAUUCUCCUAAUGAUGUGAUCCCGUUAUCAACGACAUCCAAUGUCCAUAGCCAGGAAACCAUGACUAUCUGUUGAUCACAACGAGCUAGUCAACUAGAGGCUCACUAGGGACAUAUUGUGGUCUAUGUAUUCACACGUGUAUUACGAUUUCCGGAUAAUACAGUUAUAGCAUGACUAAAAGACAAUUAUCAUGAACAAGGAAAUAUAAUAAUAAUACUUUUAUUAUUGCCUCUAGGGCAUAUUUCCAACAGUCUCCCACUUGCACUAGAGUCAAUAAUCUAGUUCACAUCGCCAUGUGAUUAACACUCACAGGUCACAUCGCCAUGUGACUAACACCCAAGAGUUUACUAGAAUCAGUAGUCUAGUUCACAUCACUAUGUGAUUAAUACUCAAUGAGUUUUAGGUUUGAUCAUGUUGCUUGUGAGAGAGGUUUUAGUCAACGGGUCCGAACCUUUCAGAUCCGUGUGUGUUUUACAAAUCUCUAUGCCAUCUCCUAGAUGUAGCUACCACACUCUAUUUGGAGCUAAUCCGAAUAACUGUUCUACUUGGAGCUAUUCUAAAUUGUUGCUCCAUUAUAUGUAUCCGGUAUCUCUACUCAGAGCUAUCCGGAUAGGUGUCAAGCUUGCAUCGACGUAACCCUUUACGACGAACUCUUUUACCACCUCCAUAAUCGAGAAAAAUUCCUUAGUCCACUAAUUUCUAAGGAUAACUUUGACCGCUGUCCUGUGAUCCAUUCUUGGAUCACUCUUGUACCCCUUGACUGACUCAUGGCAAGGCACACUUCAGGUGCGGUACUCAGCAUGGCAUACUGUAGAGCCUACGUCUAAAGUAUAGGGGACGACCUUCGUCCUUCCUCUCUUUUCUGCCGUGGUCGAGCUUUAAGUCCUAACUUCGUACCUUACAACUCAGGCAAGAACUCCUUCUUUGACUGAUCCAUCUUGAACACCUUCAAGAUCAUGUCAAGGUAUGUGCUCAUUUGAAAGUAUUAUUAAGCAUUUUGAUCUAUCCUUAUAGAUCUUGAUGCUCAAUGUUCAAGUAGCUUAAUCCAGGCUUUCCAUUGAAAAACACUUUCAAAAUAACCCUAUAUGCUUUCCAGAAAUUCUACGUCAUUUCUGAUCAACAAUAUGUCAACAACAUAUACUCAUCAGAAAUUCUAUAGUGCUCCCACUCACUUCUUUGGAAAUACAAGUUUCUCGUAAACUUUGUACAAACCCAAAAUCUUUGAUCAUCAUCAAAGCACACAUUCCAACUCCGAGAUGCUCACUCCAGUCCUUAGAAGGAUUGCUGGAGCUUUGCAUACUUAUUAGCAUCUUUUGGGAUUGACAAAACCUUCCGGUUGUAUCACAUACAACCUUUCCUCAAGUAUAACGUCGAGGAAACAAUGUUUUGACAUCCUAUCUGCAAGAUUUCAUCAAUCAUGCAGUAACUGCUAAUCCAAUUCCAACAGACUCUUAGGAUCGCUACGAGUGAGAAAACCUCACCGUAAUCAACUCCUUGAACUUGUCGGAAAAUAUCUUAACGACAAGUCGAGCUUUCUUAAUGGUAAUUCUUACCAUCAUUGUCUGUCUUCCUUUUAAAAUCCAUCCGUACCCAAUGGCCUUACGACCAUCAAGUAUUUCUUCCAAAGUCAUGGAUCCGUUCUCGGAUUUUAUGGCCUCGAGCCAUUUAUCGGAAUCCGGGCCCACCAUUGCUUCUCCAUAGCUCGUAGGUUCAUUGUUGUCCAGCAACAUGACUUCCAAGACAGGAUUACGUACCACUCUGAUGUAGUACGUAUCCUUGUCAUCCCACGAGGUUUGGUAGUGACUUGAUCCGAAGUUUCAUGAUCAACAUCACAAGCUUCCACUUCAAUUGGUGUAGGUGCCACAGGAACAACUUCAUGUGCCCUGCCACACACUAGUUGAAGAGACGGUUCAAUAACCUCAUCAAGUUUCCACCAUCCUCCCACUCAAUUCUUUCAAGAGAAACUUUUCCUCGAGAAAGGACCCGAUUCAAGAAACAAUCCAUAUUGCUUUCGGAUCUGAAUUAGGAGGUAUACCCAACUGUUUUGGGUUUCCUAUGAAGAUGCAUUUUAUCCGCUUUGGGUUCGAGCUUAUCAACCUGAAACUUUUUCAUAUAAGCGUCGCAGCCCCAAACUUUUAAGAAACGACAACUUAGGUUUCUCUAAACCAUAAUUCAUACGGUGUCAUCUCAACGGAAUUACGUGGUGCCCUAUUUAAAGUGAAUGUGGUUGUCUCUAAUGCCUAACCCAUGGACAAUAGUGGUAAUUCGAUAAGAGACAUCAUGGUACGCACCAUAUCCAAUAGGGUGCAACUAUGAUGUUCGGACACACCAUCACACUAUGGUGUUCCAGGCGGUAUUAAUUGCGAAACAAUUUCCACAAUGUCUUAAUUGUGUGCCAAAACUCGUAAUUCAGAUAUUCAUCUCUAUGAUCAUAUCAUAGACAUUUUAUCCUCUUGUCACAAUGAUCUUCUACUUCACUCUGAAAUUACUUGAACCAUUCAAUAAUUCAGACUUGUGUUUCAUCAAGUAAAUAUUCUCAACAUCUACUCGAAUCAUCUGUGAAGUAAGAUCAUAACGAUAUUCACUGCAUGCCUCAGCACUCAUUGGAUUGGACACAUCAAAAUGUGUUACUUCCAACAAGUUGCUAUCUUGUUCCAUCUUACUGAAAACGAGGCUUUUCAGUCAUCUUGCCCAUGUGGUAUGAUUUGCAUAUCUCAAGUGAUUCAAAAUCAAGUGAGUCCAAACGGUCCAUUUGCAUGGAGUUUCUUCAUGCAUAUACACCAAUAGACAUGGUUCGCAUGUCUCAAACUUUUCAAAAACGAGUGAGUCCAAAGAUCCAUCAACAUGGAGCUUCUUCAUGCGUUUUAUACCAUUAUGACUUACAUGGCAGUGUCACAAGUAUGUGGUACUAUCAUUACUAUCUUAUAUCUUUUGGCAUGAAAAUGUGUAUCACUACGAUCGAGAUUCAAUAAACCAUUCAUUUUAGGUGCAAGACCAUUGAAGGUAUUAUUCAAAUAAAUAGAGUAACCAUUAUUCUCUUUAAAUGAAUAACCGUAUUGCGAUAGACAUAAUCCAAUCAUGUCUAUGCUCAACGCAAAUACCAAAUCUCGAUGGUAGAGGGAGCGUGCGAUGCUUGAUCAUAUCAACAUUGGAAACACUUCCAACACAUAUCGUCAGCUCACCUUUAGCUAGUCUCCGUUUAUGCCGUAGCUUUUAUUUCGAGUUACUAACACUUAGCAACCGAACCGAUAUCUUAUACCCUGGUGCUACUAGGAGUACUAGUAAAGUACACAUUAACAUAAUGUAUAUCCAAUAUACUUCUAUCGACCUUGCCAGCCUUCUCAUCUACCAAGUAUCUAGGGUAAUUCUGCUCUAGUGACUGUUCCCCUUAUUACAGAAGCACUUAGUCUCGGGUUUGGGUUCAACCUUGGGUUUCUUCACUGGAGCAGCAGCUGAUUUGCCGUUUCAUGAAGUAUCCCUUCUUGCCCUUGCCCUUCUUGAAACUAGUGGUUUCAUCAACCAUCAACAAUUGAUGCUCCUUCUUGAUUUCUACUUUCGCGGUGUCAAACAUCGUGAAUACCUCAAGGAUCAUCUUAUUUAUCCCUGAUAUGUUAUAGUUCAUCACGAAGCUCUAGCAGCUCGGUGGCAAUGACUUUGGAGAAACAUCACUAUCUCAUUUGGAAGAUCAACUCCCACUCAAUUCAAGUGAUUGUUGCACUCAGACAAUCUGAGCACAAGCUCAACGAUUGAGAUUUUCUCCCUUAGUUUGUAGGCUAAGAGAAUCGUUGGAGGUCUUAUACCUCUUGACGUGAGCACGAGCCUGAAAUCCCAAUUUCAGCCCUCGAAACAUCUCAUAUGUUCCGCGAUGUUUCGAAAACGUCUUUCGUGCCUCUACUUAAACCAUUUAACUGAACUAUCACGUAGUUAUCAAAACGUGUAUGUUCGAUGUUCGAAACAUCCACAAACGACGUUUGGGGUUCAGCACACUGAGCAGUGCAUUAAGGACAUAAGCUUUCUACUGUUCGCAUAAUCGCUACUAUCAACUUUCAACUAUAUUUUCUCUAGGAACAUAUCUAAAACAGUAGAACUAAAGCGCGAGCUACGACAUAAUUUGCAAAAGGUCUUUUGACUAUGUUCAGGAUAAUUAAGUUCAUCUUAUGAACUCCCACUCAGAUAGACAUCCCUCUGGUCAUCUAAGUGAUUACAUGAUCCGAGUCAACUAGGCCGUGUCCGAUCAUCACGUGAGACGGACUAGUCAUCAUCGGUGAACAUCUUCAUGUUGAUCGUAUCUACUAUACGACUCAUGCUCGACCUUUCGGUCUCCGUGUUCCGAGGCCAUGUCUGUACAUGCUAGGCUCGUCAAGUUAACCCUAAGUGUUUUCGCUGUGUAAAACUGUCUUACACCCGUUGUAUGUGAACGUAAGAAUCCAUCACACCCGAUCAUCACGUGGUGCUUAGAAGCGAUGAACUGUAGCAACGGUGCAUAGUUAGGGGAGAACACUUCUUGAAAUUGUUGUAAGGGAUCAUCUUAUUUACUACCAUCGUUCUAAGCAAACAAGAUGCAUAAACAUGAUAAACAUCACAUGCAAUCAAAUAGAGUAGUGACAUGAUAUGGCCAAUAUCAUAUAGCUCCUUUGAUCUUCAUCUUCGGGGCUCCAUGAUCAUCUUGUCACCGGCAUGACACCAUGAUCUCCAUCAUCAUGAUCUCCAUCAUCGUGUCUUCAUGAAGUUGUCACGCCAACGACUACUUCUACUUCUAUGACUAACGCAUUUAGCAAUAAAGUAAAGUAGUUUACAUGGCGUUCUUCAAUGACACGCAGGUCAUACAAUAAAUAAAGACAACUCCUAUGGCUCCUGCCGGUUGUCAUACUCAUCGACAUGCAAGUCGUGAAUCCUAUUACAAGAACAUGAUCAAUCUCAUACAUCACAUAUAUCAUUCAUCACAUCCUUUUGGCCAUAUCACAUCACAUAGCAUACCCUGCAAAAACAAGUUAGACGUCCUCUAAUUGUUGUUUGCAUGUUUUACGUGGCUGCUAUGGGUUUCUAGCAAGAACGUUUCUUACCUACGCAAAACCACAACGUUGAUAUGCCAAUUGCUAUUUACCCUUCAUAAGGACCCUUUUCAUCGAAUCCGUUCCGACUAAAGUGGGAGAGACUGGCACCCGCUAGCCACCUUAUGCACCAAGUGCAUGUCAAUCGGUGGAACCUGUCUCACGUAAGAGUACGUGUAAGGUCGGUCCGGGCCGCUUCAUCCCACAAUACCGUCGAAACAAGAUUGGACUAGUAACGGUAAGCAUAUUGAACAACAUCAACGCCCACAACUACUUUGUGUUCUACUCGUGCAAAGAAUCUACGCAAUAGACCUAGCUCAUGAUGCCACUGUUGGGGAACGUAGCAGAAAUACAAAAUUUUCCUACGUGUCACCAAGAUCUAUCUAUGUAGAAACCAGCUACGAGUAGAAGUAGAGUGCAUCUACAUACCCUUGUAGAUCGCUAAGCGGAAGCGUUCAAGUGAACGGGGUUGAUGAAGUCGUACUCGUCAUGAUUCAAAUCACCGAUGAUCAAGUGCCGAACGCACGACACCUCCGCGUUCAACACACGUACAGCCCGGUGACGUAUCCCACGCCUUGAUCCAGCAAGGAGAGAGGGAGAGGUUGAGGAAGACUCCAUCCAGCAGCAGCACAACGGCGUGGUGGUGGUGGAGGAGCGUGGCAAUCCUGCAGGGCUUCGCCAAGCACCACGGGAGAGGAGGACGACUUGGGAGAGGGGGAGGGCUGCGCCAGAACUUCGUCUGAAGCUCCCAUGCGUCUCCCCACUAUAUAUAGGGGUGGAGGGGCUGGUUUCUUGCCCUCCAAGUCCAUUGGGGCGUUGGCCAAGGUGGGAGUAAAGAGAUCCCAUCAUUUCCUUCCCCACCGAUUGUUAUCCCCCCUUUUUAGGGAUCUUGAUCUUAUCCCUUCGGGAUAUGAUCUUAUUCCUUCUAAGGGGGGAUCUUGGUGCGCCUUGACCAGGGGUGUGGGGCCUUUCCCCCACUACCCACGUUCAUAUGGGUCCCCCCAUGCAGGUGGGCCCCACUCCGGAACCUUCUAGAACCUUCCCGGUACAAUACCGAAAAAUCCCGAACAUUUUCUGGUGGCCAAAAUAGGACUUCCCAUAUAUAAAUCUUUACCUCCGGACCAUUCCGGAACUCCUCGUGACGUCCGGGAUCUCAUACGGGACUCCGAAUAACAUUCGGUAACCACAUACAAACUUCCUUUAUAACCCUAGCGUCAUCGAACCUUAAGUGUGUAGACCCUACGGGUUCGGGAGACAUGCAGACAUGACCGAGACGUUCUCCGGUCAAUAACCAACAGCGGGAUCUGGAUACCCAUGAUGGCUCCCACAUGUUCCACGAUGAUCUCAUCGGAUGAACCACGAUGUCAAGGACUUAAUCAAUCCCGUAUUCAAUUCCCUUUGUCUAUCGGUAUGUUACUUGCCCGAGAUUCGAUCGUCGGUAUCCAAUACCUUGUUCAAUCUCGUUACCGGCAAGUCACUUUACUCGUUCCGUAACACAUCAUCCCGUGAUCAACUCCUUGGUCACAUUGCGCAUAUGAUGAUGUCCUACCGAGUGGGCCCAGAGAUACCUCUCCGUUUACACGGAGUGACAAAUCCCAGUCUCGAUCCGCAUAAAACAAUAAAUACUUUCGGAGAUACCUGUAGUGCACCUUUAUAGUCACCCAGUUACGUUGUGACGUUUGAUACACCCAAAGCACUCCUACGGUAUCCAGGAGUUACACGCUCUCAUGGUCGAAGGAAGAGAUACUUGACAUUGGCAAAGCUCUAGCAAAUGAACUACACGAUCUUUUGUGCUAGUCUUAGGAUUGGGUCUUGUCCAUCACAUCAUUCUCCUAAUGAUGUGAUCCCGUUAUCAACGACAUCCAAUGUCCAUAGCCAGGAAACCAUGACUAUCUGUUGAUCACAACGAGCUAGUCAACUAGAGGCUCACUAGGGACAUAUUGUGGUCUAUGUAUUCACACGUGUAUUACGAUUUCCGGAUAAUACAGUUAUAGCAUGAAUAAAAGACAAUUAUCAUGAACAAGGAAAUAUAAUAAUAAUACUUUUAUUAUUGCCUCUAGGGCAUAUUUCCAACACUUGAAGCCAUUAGUUUCAUAAUAUAUGUUUCAUCUUUCCUUCUAUCUGCCUCUUGUUCUGGUACUACUUCUUGUAAUAACCUUUCUUGUUUACAUUCAUAAAAAAUAGCCAAAGGAUUUUCCAAGUAAAUGAAGUCUGGGUUGAUUAGAAGACUUUGACUAUUUCAUGAGACCUGGCUCUUGGAUGAGUCCCCAUUUUUAGAUUGUUACUCGAAAAUUCUUAAUACAAACCAACUAUUCCGCGGGAGGCAAGGACUUAUCCCAAACACUGAUGUUAUUACACACAUUCCGCAAAGAGAAGAUAUGGUAGUGCUCGCUUCAUUUUGUGCUAAGUACUUUUUCAUCUUAGUGACAGAAAUCCACCAAAAAAGAUAUAAGCAUCACUCAUUUUAGUAUUAUUGAUAUUUUUCACAAACGACAAUGCAGGAGUUAUUAAUGCGGCCUCUAUUGGAUCAUUCAGAUCCUAUUUGUAGAGAUAUUUUAAGUGAAAGAAUGGUUGGAUUCAGCCUGGAUAGAGAAAUUUCAUUAGUUCUCUAACUUGAAUAACAAAACAUAUAUGAGCAUUUCUCUUUAAACACUAUGUUUGCAUGAAGAAUGCAUUAUUUUCUUAUCCCUACAAAACCAAACUGACAUGGCUUCUAUUUUUCUACGUGUACUUACCUUGCUUCAAUGAUAAGAAGUGAAUUUAAUUUCCGCAAACCUGGAAUCCGGGAGGUACUUCGACAUUGAAUCCUGAUGGCUCUGGACAAGAUAGAUUCACCACUAUCAUUAGCACUGUUGCCUACAAUUUCAAAACACUGUUUGCCUUGACAUACCCGAACUGCACUGCAUUCAACAUAAAGGACUUCGACUACAGAUUUUUUGCAGUACCUAGAACUCAUUUUAGGUCCAUAGCUUCUCUUUUUUUUCAUUCAACAUUUUCAGUUGAAUUACCUUAGUUAAUUGCAGUUUUCAUAUAUUCGUAAACUAAGUUUAGUUCUUACAAUCUCAUGUAUCCCAGGUAUGAUACAUGACUUUUUUGUUGCAAAUUUUAAAAAACUACCGUGGAAUGGGAGUUCCAGGGUUCUCAACUGUAAGAUCCUAUCAUUUCCAGACCAAUACCUUUUCAUUUUUUAACUGUACAACUGAAAGAGAAUAAAUUUUCUUCCAGGCUGAUUUGCAAGCUCUGCGUGAAAUUUUCUUGUACGAGAUAGCAACAUACCCCAACAGUGAAGUUCAAUUACCUAUAGUGAGAAACUUCCUACAAAACCAUGUAAGUUCUAGACCGUUUUUUAUCAUCCUCCACCUGUUGGUUAUCUCUAUUCUUUCCAUUCUUCUGUCACUUCUAUAUAAUCUAUGUUAUGAAAGUUGGUUACUCUUUUUGUCAAAAUGUUUCUUAUGUAUUUUCUAAAUCUGUUAUUCCACAUGGGUUUCGAUCAUUCAAAUAAACAACUGCCGAGGCCACAAUUGCAGCUUUGCAAAAAGCCUGAAACAUUUUCCCUUCUCUUUUUAAUAAUUCCUUUCAUAAAGUUUUUCAAAUAAACAUCUACCUAGCUUUGAGAUUCAUACGUAGCAAUUAUUGUAGUGUUAACCUGAUUGUUGAAACAGUCGAACUACAAAUAACUUUGUAGAAAAAGUUCAACAUAAAAUGUUUUGCAUAUAGCCCAGAGAAUAAGUGUUCAAUCAAAUAGUAAUCUGUCAAGCAACUAUAGCAACUCUUGGCUAACUUCUUUUCUAAAAAUAUGUCAUACAAUUGUGCUUUGUUUCAUUAGAAUACAAUACAUUUUCCCCUACCAUCCAUAUUCUAUCGCCUACAUUAAACUGCUUUUUGGAAUGCUUCCACAUAAUAAAAUUCUUUUCCAUAAUGAGUGAAUUUUUUUUUCAAUUACAAUCAACACAAGAUGUUUUCACUCUAAAUUAGUAUGUAAAGUGUCCAAUUCUAUAUGGAGUAGCAUUGCAAGGUCAAGGAAAAGGUCAAGGAAAAAUAUUAGCACAUUUAGAUCAUUUUCUUCACAUUUUUUCUGGCUAUUUAAAACUGUUACUUUCUUACCUCAUUAUGACUUUUGUGGAUGUUACAAUAUAAUGACCAGCAAUUAUUUUUUUGCUCGGCUUAAUAAAACAGGUACAACAACUACUACAAGACAAUUCCAACAAGAACUACGACAGUCAAGAGAAUCCACACAAAUGGAUAAAGACAUUAUUUUGAUCCCUUGUAUGACAUUUUCUUCCCGAUCAAUUUUGUUUGUAUGACAUGUUUAGAAAAUUUAGUACCAAAAAGAGUCCUUGACAUCAUACUGUGUUUUGCAUUUUCUUAUGAAUUUUUUUCUACAAUCUUUGUUCGAUACAUUUUUCCGUUCCAACUUACGAACAUACAGCAAAAAAACUUUUUUUUGAAUGGAAAAUAGCAACAAAACUAGUAGUUCAAACUCGAACCAGCAUCUACGCACCACUUUUCCCUAUCGUGGACAAAGAAACUUCCUAGCGCCCGAAAUAGUCUCCACUCCAACGAGCACGAAAUGGGCCAGCCCAACUCGUUCCCACUGUUCGUUCGAAAUAGUGUACCCCCUACGCGCCUGCAUGCUUCCUGGCGCAUAGGUCGCCAUAUAGGCUGCGCAUAGGUUGCCAUAUAGGCUGUCAGGACCCCGAUUUUAAGUCACACCGAUCUAGCCUGUAACACCUCAUAUCACUUUGCGGCCUCACGCACGGUAUUUCCACGGGUGUCGCCUUACCAUGGCCCGGGACCGUUUGCGCCAUUUGGCUCACGUAGAUGAUAGUGUCGCUAGCAUCCAUAUGACAGAGAACCCGGGCCAUGGUAAGGCGACACCCAUGGGAAUACCGUGCGUGAGGCCACAAAGUGAUAUGAGGUGUUAUAGGCUAGAUCGGUGUGACUUAGAAUCGGGGUCCUGACAGCUUUGGUAUUAGAGCCUGACUGCCUGUAGGAUUACCAAGCCAAGCUGGCCGAAGUCGUGUCUAGAAAUGCUUUAGUUAUAUAAGGGAAUUGAUUGUGGAUGGGAAUGUAAGGCUCUUUUACUCCUUAUCCUCAUGACAUUCUGAUCUGAGUCAUCUUAUCUUUUCUACGGGGUUAAGAACUAGGCUUCUCUUCUAUCUCUCGGGAUGACGUGUUACUAAACCGUAGUUGCCGAGGAUUGUUGAGUUCAAGCCUCAGUUCAGUUCCUACUACUUCCAUAUGUUCAUAGCUGGCCUCAGAACCUUGAGUUUGUGAUGUUGAGUGGCUAUGCCAUCAUUUUGAGCAUUUACAGUCGUUAUGCUGUCCGAGUCAUCCCAGGUUUCUAAAUAGUCUGAUGCACUUGCAAAUCUUUCCUCCAUGUUCUGUUGUAUUUUUGGGCCAGAUUAAGCACACUAAUCGGUGUGUUAAGGUACUCUGUUGCCUUGACGUGUAUGUUGGAGUUAGUAUUAUGACCCUAGGUGUCUUCGAGAACCACUUAGUAAUCUAGCAAUGUUUUGUGUGUCCCUGUGUGAUGAUUCUGGUCACCAUUCUCAAAAGUAUCUCGUGAUGUUAUUUAGUUAGUAGGUAUUCUACUCCUGGGUUUUGAACCCGAGAUUCACCCUACUUCAUGUUGUUAGUAUUUGCUAGUUCCCUUAAGAUAUUAGUAACCUUGUGAUAGUCCUCGAGGCCCGUGGUAUAUCGUUCUUUCAAUACCAUGAGCCAAUAUGGCAGAAGUUCUUUUGAACCAAAAGAUCACAACCAGAGUGCUCUUGAUGAGUUCCCCAUUCAUAAUUGUGAUUCUGCCAGCUCUACCUUUCUGCAUGGGUUAUCCAGAAGAAAUAUGUUGAACUCGUUCGACAUACUAAUUAUGCAUCCACAACUCAGAAAGUUAUAUGUUCCUUUGAGUUGUCCCCCUUCAGUUAUAUUCCUACCUUCAUCUAUCAAUUGAUAGUCAAGAGUAUGCGUGCAUUCGUUCCUCGGUGCCUAUCAUUCUUGUGGUCCAUCAAGCCAUACUAUUCCGGAAUGACUAGGUGAAACAAAUUCCAGUACCUUAUCCAUUUCUAGGAUUGGGUCAAAGUAGAUGUAAUCCGCAGAUCCAAAUUCCAAUCUAGCUUUUGCUCUGUUCUACCGUGGAGUGUCACCUUCUCUCUUAUCAAGAAUGUCAUGAGAAUUGCACCAUAUCUUAUGAAUUCUUGAUGCAGUGAUACUUCUUGCCAUCAUUGUUCAUUUCUCGGUUCCUGUGUUGUUAUAACCAGAAUGCCAACAAGUGAAUCGUGAUGUGUGAAAUCAAUACUCCUAGCAACUCUGUUCCUUGGUAGUUAAUGGAUAGUAUUCUCAUUCCUAGCAUGUUGGUUAAUGAAUCAUCAUCCUAAGAUUGAUCGUGCUACUAGUCCUUAUUUCCGGAGCACUAUUCGAUCAAUGGGUUAGGAUUUUGCCAAACCCUUGCUCUUUUGAUCAUAUCGUCUUGCCCUGUAAAGUAAGAUUGAUCUCGAGCUUAGUAUCAUGUAGGUGGUUCGUGAAUUUCCGAAUAUCUUCUCAGAAGUGUUACCAGGUUGUCACCUGACCGCUAUGUUGAGUUCAUGAUCAAGUUGGUUUCUUGUAAACCACUCCUUCUCCAAGGAUCUGUGUUGGAUAUCCCUGAGCUAGUUGGUUGAGGUAGACAACAACUUGGAGAGUUGGAAGGCAAAAGCUUUGCUUAAAUUAGUUCAUCUCUAAGGGAUAUCUUCUGUGUGUACGUGUUGAAGAAAGAUGAUAUCUCCAUCGAUUGGUCCUCGUGAUCAGUUGUUGGAUCUAUUACCUUGUCAAAACUUUGACUUGAGUAUGGGCUAUCGUCAAGUCAAAUCAGAACCAACGAUGUUCGUAAUGAUGUCUUACUCGUGGUUGAUCCCUCAAGCAUACACCAUUACAUCUUUUGGUCUGACCAAUGCUAUCACCGUGUUCACAUGAUGGUGGACGUCCAGUGAUAUGGAAAUUCUGAUGAGUUGUUGUUGAGGCCAUCAACAACAUUUUGUCUCCCCCAUGAUUCAUGUUGAACAUUAUACUAGUGUUGGAAACUUUAUAGGCAUUGCCCUCAUGUCCCGUUCAUGAAGCAUAUGUCCGGUUGAAAGAUGUGACUUCCUCUAAUUCAUGUGCAUCUGAUGCAAGUUGCCGUCGUGGAUUUGAGAAAGCUUGUUUUGCUUCCUUUGGAAUCAUCCCAAGUUAGCCAUGCAUGUGCGAAGUAUUCUAUGGUUUGAUAGGCUCGCUACCUCCAGUCCAUAUGUGUCCCUAGCACACCAAGCCACUGACUGAUUUGUUCUAGGAGAAGGAGUUAAGUGCUAAUCCAUGGUAAUGCACAAGACUUCGUUAUUCAUGAUGAUGGUUCCCAACCAGAACUCACUAGUGUUUUAUUAUAAGACUACCAUGUGGCCAUGCUUGUCUGGGACAGCGUGUUCACAUGUUGUAGCAGAACCAGCUCAUGCUAUGGAGCUUGCUAUCAUAGUUCAUCUCCCGAGAAUCUCGCAAUGUCAUCUCGUCGAUUUGUGUUGCAAACUUUCAUUUUCUUUCUAGACUCGAUGAGUCUGGAAUAUCCUGACACCAACCAGAUCUGAAUCUCAGGCAGAUGUGAUGGUUGGGACAUUUUCCCAAGAGCUAUAAUAUUGGUCUCUCGGUAACCAGUAAAGUGGAUGACGUGGCCAACACACCCGACCGGAAGACCUAUUAUUGUAGUAUCUUGUUUGAAGAAGUUGGCCACUUCCGCAUAAGGAUCUCGUAGAAUUUAUUCCAAUAGUAGUUACUUAUGGAUUUUUCUGUUUCUGAAGUCCGACCUUUUAUUUGAUGUCCUAGAUACCAAACCAUAUCAAUAAAUGAGUUAUGCUAGCACAUCAAGGAGAACAUUAGAAGUGGAGUGCUAAAUGUUUCUCGGUCGGUCAUCCAGAUUUUGAUCCCUUGGCCUCGCUAAGGUGAAAUAUGAGAAAGUGUUAUCUUUCUUUGCAUCUGCGUCCUCCACCAUUAUUCAUCAUGGUAGUAUGUUGUGUUGCCGGGAUCCUUGACAUGGAUAUUGGUAAAACUUGUUGAAUAUGGAAUGCUCAAGUUCUUGAGAGCACGCGCAAUCACUAGGAUUUAUCGCCGGCAUUAAUUGGGAUCUACUCUUAGUUUCCUUGGUUAUGCUAUAACCUUACCAAUAGUGGAAUCUCUCUCUACUGUUGGGUUUCUCCCCAGUCCUUGGAUCAUUCCUAGCAUUUGCAUUUUGUUCCCAGCUUGCAUCGCCGUUGUACCAAUUUCCCAUGGGCUGCCCUCUCGGAAAUUGUUGUUCCGGAUCAUCUUCAAAAGUGGUCCUACCAUGGAUCCCAUCCAUCUCCGAUGAUAAGCAAAAUCAUCUGUUGCGUUGUCUUCAACAAGGUAGUCCACAUCAUCUGUUCUAGUCUGAGUAUGCCAUUCUUUCCGACUUCUUCAAACGAUCGGUUGUGAAUUGCCCUAGGCUGGUACAGAGAGUUUCAUUGGUCGUUGUAUCAAAAGUAAUUCUUUUGCCACUUAGGGGAAUAUUUCUGCGAGUCACUUUCCCUAAGGUGCCAUUAUCGAAUCAUGGAAGAUAACUCCUCGUUAUCUUGAAACCAUGCACCAUCUUAUUCAGCAUGGAAUUGUGCUUAUCAACUUGAAUCUUCGUUCUCUGUUUCACUCCAUCCCUUUGGAUGUAUGUUUCGUGUCUUAGCUCGAGAGAUGGUGUACAUCUCAUUCCGUGAGUUGAUUGUCAGUUGCUCAAUCUUCAUGAAGAUUGAUUCUUCUAGAGUUUUCCCUUUCUUCUCGUUGUCAUGCUGGAUGGAGUUCUCAGAACAAGAUGUCAAGACAAGGAUGAUGAUCGAAUCAACGUUCUUAUGAAGUGCAACCUGGAUCGUGAAGUUUGUGUUAGGGUUGUGCCUCCUUGUCUUCUUACCUCACGUCUUGAAUCUCGGGGCGAGAUUCUUGUUUAGUGGGGGUGAGUUGUCACAGCCCUAGAAUUUGAUUGCAAAUAGUUGCACAAGCAUCCAUGAAUCAUGUCUAAAAUUCCUUGAAAGUUGAAAUGGGGAUUGUUGAAACCCUAGCACUAGAUCAAGUCAAAUAGGUUCAACCUAAAAUAAUCUUCAAUGAAUCCAAAAUGCCUUUGAAAAUGUUCAUUAUUUUUGUUAAAGGUGAAAACAUCUGCCAAAAAUGAUGCAAAUAUUUUUAGGCCAUUCUGGAUAUUUGAACUAAUUCAUAAAGUAUUUGAAUUGGGGCAUUUAAUUGGUAUAAAUAUUAUUAAAUGCUCCAGCAAUUCUGGAAAUAGCUAAGGGCCUCUGAGAAAGUUUAGUUGUUGCACAUAAUUAAUUUCAGGAUUUAUAGAAAUGAUUUGGUGUUUUUGCUAAAUCAAAAACAAAUUGCAAAAGCAGAAAAUAGAAACAGAUGGAAAGGCAGAAGACUUACCUGGGUCAACUUACCUGGCGCCCAGCCGGCCCAACACUGUGCAGCCCAGCCAGCGCAGCGCCUUCUUCAACCUUCUGCCAGAAGGUGAGGCAGCUGCAUGGAGAGCGCAAAGCUGAGCUGCGCCAGCUCCUACUUGCCACCUCCUGCUUCCCCCUCUCCUCUGCCGAUGCCACGCGACCCCCUGGGUCUCUCACACUCCCCCUCGAGCUCUUCCCCUUCCUUUGCUCCCCCUCCCGAGCACAACCGAGCGAGCUUGUCGCCGCCGACGCUGUUUACCGCGGCCACAGCCACCCCCCUUGCCCCUCUGCCGUCCCCAAGAGCUCCGCCCCGACCUCUUCUUCGUCUCUGCCAAGCCAAAUGAUGCCAGAGCGCCCCACAGCACCACCAUCGCCGUUGUCUUCGUCCUCUGCACCGAAAGUCGUCGUCCUCGAUUCGCAGCAACCCGACCUCGCCGACGACGCCAUCGGACGCGCUGUGAGCACCCGCGUCGUCUCCCCCUUCUCCCCUGGUCGCGCUCGCCCUCUAGGCCGUAGCCCCGCCAUGACUGAAAGCUUGCUCGCUGCCAUCCAUGUCGCUACCGUGGCGAGAGCCCACGCACGUCGCAUCCGAGGACGCUAUCAUCCUCAGCACGCUCCCAGGAGCCCAGAACUGCCGUCCGUUCGACCUCGCAUGCACCGUAGCAUCUUAGCCGUCGAGCCCGUACUCCGGACGCCGCCGCGAGCUCAUUCCCGGCGAGCUUCGGCCACCCCAACUGCCGCCGCCUGUUGCAAUGGAUGCGCUCGAGUCCUGGCGUUCCAUAGCUGCAACCAGCGCUCAAAACCAUUCCACGUAGCGUAUUUCCGCGGCGUCCCCGUCGUCGGUUUUGGUCACCGCCGGUGAACUCCGGCGAAGCCAACGUGGCGCCACCAUUAGCCACUAAUUGCGCUCUAAUUAACCCCCACAGCCACUGACCGGUGGGCCCAGCUCCUCCAAUGUUUUUGGUUAGGUUUAACUAAAGUCACUAAUUAUGACUGAACCUAUGACACGUGGGUCCCAGCAUCAGGUUUGACCUGGGCUGACGCUGUUGACCUGAUGACGUCACACUGACGUCAGGCUGACGCAGUAAACCAUUUCUGGAUUAAUAAUAAUCUAGAAAAUUCCAGAAAAUAGUAUAAACUUCUAAAAAUCAUAGAAAUUCAACCAUAACUCCAAAUGAAACAAAUUAUAUAUGAAAAAUUAUCAGAAAAAUUCAAGGAAUCCAUCUGUACCAUUUUCAUGCAUGUUAGAACAACUUAAGGCCACUGUUUAGGACAAAUAAAAUGAAUGGUAUUUAAAUAACCACAUGUGGAGUUUGAAUUUGAACUUUGGGUUCAAACCAACUUCAUUUAAUUGUGUUGCUAGUUGCAUUAGCUCAAUCAACAACAUAUUGCCAUGUCAUUAUCAUGCAUCAUGUUGUGCAUUGCAUUGAUUGUGUUCCUUCUCUGUUGCCUGUGGUUGUCCUCUCUCGAUAGACGUUGUACCGAUGUUGUGAUCGUUGACACUGAUGAAGACCCAAUGAUAUCUUCAGAAGUGUCAGGCAAGCAAAACCCCCUUGUUCAUUCCGAUACAAUCCCACUCUCUUGCUCCUGCUCUUUUUUACUACAUUAGGACAACAACAAUUCAACUGUUACAUGCUGCGGUAGCUGAACCCCUUUCCUCUGCAUGACCUGUCAUUGCCAUAGUAAAUAGAUGAAACCCACUAGCGUGAGUAGGAAUUGUUUGAGCCCUGAUGUGCCUACUCAUUCAUGCUUGUUGUCAUGCCUGCUACUGCUUAGAGUUGAGUCAGGUCUGAUUCAUCGGGAAUGAAUUGGAACGUGGUGAACAUGUCCUACCGUUGAGAGCUAAGUGUGUGAACACGAUUUGGUAAAGGUAGCGGUGAGAGGCCAUGUCGAAGUACAUGGUGGGUUGUCUCAUUGCAGCCAUCCUCAGGAACUGAGUUCUGUGUUUGUGAUCCAUGAACAGUUACUACCACACAUUGGGUUCCGGUAACUCGGCCCCUCUCGGCUUAUUAAUCAACUCGAUCUCUGUCCAGGAGUUGCAACUAGUUUCUGGUGUUUGUAGGUAGUGUUGGUAGUCUACCAAGUGGCACUCGGUACAGGUGGGCUUGGGACAGACUAGGCACAGUGGCACGGUGUACCAAGUGGCACCCGGAUGGUGGGCUUGGGAACCCUGCACACAUCGUUUGGCGCCGUGAGCGACACCCCGGCCGGAUCUCCUUGCGGAUGGAACCCGAAUAGGAGAUAAACCUGGACGAGAGACUUGUUGGUUAGUCAGGUCAUGGCCGACUCCCUCGCCCGGCUUCCGCAUGAAGGUUGCCGAGGUACAUGACGUGUACAUGGCGAUAAGUGGCGAGAGCGUGUGUGAAGAAGUACACCCCUGCAGGGUUAUCAUUAUCUAUUCGAAUAGCCGGAUACCUCGGAUAUGGAAACUUGGACCCCUUGCAUAGUUCAUAGACAAGUGAAAGUGGAUACUCUAAAAUGCGCAAGAUAAGUGUGAGUGCUAUGGAUGGCGUUCUCGUACGGGAACGGGAGCGGAUCCAUAGUGGUGUAUUGGUAUGGUGAAUUUGUGGACUCGUGUGCGUCACCUCAAAAGAGUUACUUGCAGUCGUAGUUCAGGUUAGCCACUGAGUCAAAGCUGGCUUGCUGUAGUUAAACUCCACCACCCCCUUUGUUGAUACCGAUGCAUAUGUAGAUAGUUCUGAUGUAAGUCUUGUUGGGUACAUUUGUACUCAUGUUUUCCUAUUUUAUGUUUUUGCAGAGAGACGUCAGUCUCGCUAGUAGUGCCACGUGGACUUCGACGUUUAACUUGUUACCUCAGCUACGAUCUUGUACCUUGGGAGGGUCUUGUAGAUAGUCAGGCUUCUCAGCCUUCUUCAUUUGUAGUUGUCUGUACUCAGACAAGUUAAGCUUCCGCAUGUGCUUGUUGCUUGUAUGCUCUGUAUGUUGGGUCAUGAGACCCAUGUUUGUAAUAUCUCGCUCCUCGGAGCCUAAUGAAUAAAUACUCUGAGUCGUAGAGUCUUGUUGUGAUGCCAUGUUGUAUUGCACAUAUUGAGCAUAUUGUGUGUAUGAUUGAAAUGCUUGGUAUGUGUGGAAAUGUAGUCUUGUGCUUCCAUGAGCCAUAGUAGUCCGCUACAGCCCGGUUCACCGGAGUCCUGCUAGCCCAGCACUAUUGCUCCGGAACACUUGACUGGCCGGCAUGUGAUUCACUUCGUUCCUGUGUCUGUCACUUCGGGGAAAUGUCACGCAGUGACAUCCGGAGUCCUUCCUAGCCUGCUACAGCCCGGGUUCCCGGAGUCCUGUUAGCUCAGUGCUACAGCCCGGAUUCACACGCUGCAGACCGACAUGCUCGAUGUUGAUUCAUGUAUGCCUGUUCCCGUAAGUUAGUGCCACUUUGGGUUCACGACUAGUCAUGUCGGCCCGGGUUCUCUGUCAUAUGGAUGCUAGCGACACUAUCAUAUAUGUGAGCCAAAAGGCGCAAACGGUCUCGGGCCAUGGCAAGGCGACACCCGUGGGAAUACCGUGCGUGAGGCCGCAAAGUGAUAUGAGGUGUUACACGCUAGAUCGGUGUGACUUAGAAUCGGGGUCCUGACAUAGGCGCUCCCGUUGAACUACUCCCCCACUAGGACCCCCCCUAAGGAGGGGGGGCGCCAACUCCACUUGGGCCUUUGUGGCCCAAGUUGCCUUACAUCUCUUGGCCUUUUAAGGCCCGUUGAUAUUUCAUUAAAUGUAAAAGUCUUCUAAUAAUUACUACAAUCUUUUAUAUAUAAUUUAACAUCACCAGAAACAUUUUCCACCUAUAUAUUAAUUAUUGGGAAUACCCGGUAUUACCCGAUAAACUCUAAAACCCUUCUGGUGACCCCGAAACACUUUCGGUCCCUCUUGAAACUAUUCUGAAUACAAUUCCACACACGAAAUCUCGAUACUCUCAUCCUACUAACACUCAGUAGAUCGUGAUGACCUUAAUCUUCUGACCCCAUAGGUUCGGUAAUCACAUACAUGAAUGAAAUCCCUUCGUUCAAUGACCGAUAGCGGAACCAUGGACGUCCAUAUCAAUCCCUAUGACUACAUGAAUGACAUUCGAGUGAACCUUUUGGUUACUAUGUGAUGUUCCCUUUGCUAUGUGUUGUUUCCUUUGCUUCUCAAUGCUUUACAAAACCCAUGAUGCAUCGGUACCCUCCUGAGUCAUGCACAUGCUCACUAUACCGUUGACCUCAUUGCCGGUUUGUUCUUAUUUCUCGUUUAAAUGUUCCAGCAUCCCCGUGACGUUGUCACCUAUGUCUGCCAAACGACGAUGGAUGUCGUCACAUUGGGAGGGCCCUAAGAAUAUCUCUCCACGUCAGAGGAGCAAAUCCCACUCUUCAGCUAUCCAGUCCCUUGUCAAACUUUUUGAUGAACCUGUAAGUUGUCAUUACGAUCACCUAGUUAUGGAUGACAUUUGAGCUACCCCAAAGUACACCGUACAGUAGGAAGUGACUACGAUACUCUCAUGGUCUGAGGAACUAAAACACAUGCUAACACUCUAUGUUAUAACAAUUCAUUUCAUACGAUAUUAUCUCAAAGUAUAACAAACAAGUUUGUGUCGUUUCAAUAUGAUCGUUCUUCUAACCUCAUACUCUUAGUGUCGUUUUAGGACUAUCCUUACACUUAACGAUAUCCUAAGAUCCAGAAAACAUGAUCACCAACAACACGUGAGCCAGUCCUAGAGGCAAGACCGGGAACCUAUAUUAUACUAUUUAUCACUUCACACGUGCAUACUUUUCCACUGAAUCACAUAUUCCAAAAUCAUAGCAGUUGUAGCAUGAAACAUAAACUCUUAACCAUGAAAAUGGAAAUAUAAUAAUAUAAUAUUAUUACCUCUAGGGCAUAUUUCCAACAAUCUCCAACUUGCACUAGAGUCAGUAAUCUAGUUUACAUAGUCUCUCUAACAUCUAUUGAAAGCACAAGUUCUCCCUUUGGUGGUUUUGGUAAUUAAUGUCAACAUAUAUUUCGUUGGACAAAUAGUUUUUAUCUAGUAUAUUUUAGAUAAUUUCAAAAGUAUCAUGGCAAGGACAAGAGGAUGUGGAACUCCUUCAAAAUGUUAAGGAGAUGGAUUGGCAAAAGCUCAAGACUCUACUUUUUUUUGUUAAGUGAUCCAAGAUCACAUUGAGUCCAUAGGAAAGCCAAUACUAUUAAAAGGGGAUGAGGUGUUACUUAAUGGUGUUUUUGCUCGAGUGCUUAGUGACAUUACUCCAAAACCCUCAACCACUUUCUCCAUCCAAAUAUGCCCAAACCUUACAUUCCAACUCGGCCCCACCGAAAUUUCCUCUCUGUAGCCACCGAGUUCAUUUGGACUUAGCCACUGCCAAACCCUAACAAAUCGGAUCCACCGAUAUGGAUCUCGAUCCCACCGAGAUGGCCCUGAUAGCUUUCUGUUGCUAGUUGCAAUUGUUUUGGUCCCACCGAGAAUUGCAAUCGGUACCACCGAGAUGGCUUGCCAACUCUCUGUUGCCUUAUUGCUUCACUUCGGUCCCACCGAGUUGAUGCAACCGGUGCCACCAAGACAUGGUUUGCCCUAGCCAUUGCACAUCAGUCCCUCCGAGUUGUUCCAGUCGGUCCCACUGAGAUUCCUAACAUUCAUAUCUUUUACACAGGUCGUUGCCACUGAGAUUUCUGAUCAGUGCCACCGAGUUGGGUCAAAGUGUGUAAUGGUUGGAUUUUGUGUGGAGGCUAUAUAUAUAUAAAUAUAUAUAUACCCCUCCACCCCUUCUUCCUCAGAUAAGAGAGCCAUUAGAACAUGCCUACACUUCCACCAUUCAUUUUCUGAGAGAGAACCACCUACUCAUGUGUUGAGAUCAAGAGAUUCCAUUCCUACCAUUUGUACCUUGAUUCCUAGCCUUUCCCAAGUUUCUUUCCACUCAAAUCCUUCUUCCACCAUAGCCAAAUCUGUGAGAGAGAGUUGAGUGUUGGGGAGACUAUCAUUUGAAGCACAAGAGCAAUGAGGUCAUCAUCAACACACUGUCUAUUACCUUUUGGAGAGUGGUGUCUCCUAGACUGGUUAGGUGUCACUUGGGAGCCUCCGACAUGAUGUGGAGUUGAACCAAGAAGUUUGUAAGGGCAAGGAGAUCGCCUACUUCAUGAUGAUCUAGUCGAGUGAGGCAAGUCCUUCAUGAACGUUGGCCAUGUUGGGGUAGACAAGGUUGCUUCUUCGUGGACCCUUAGUGGGUGGAGCCCUUCGUGGACUUGCGCAGCCAUUACCCUUCAUGGGUUGAAGUCUCGAUCAACAUGGACGUACGAUAGCACCACCCAUCGGGACCAUGCCAAAAAUCUCCAUGUCUCUAUUGCGUUUGCACCCUCCAAUUCCCAUCCCUUUACAUUCUUGCACUUGCAUGAUUUACUCUUUCCUCUGCUCAUACUCUUGCUAUGCUUGUGUAAAAUGUAUUGUGUGCCCAUUAACACAUGCUAAAAUCAACAUUAACUUCAAGGAACUAAAAACUGCCACUUUUACUUGUUAAGGGUUUAAUCACCCCCUCUAGACCCCUCUUCUCGAUCCUUUCAAUUGGUAUCAGAGCAUUGAUCUCCAUUGCUUUGGUUUAAUCACCAUUGAAGGAAGAAGGAUGAGUCUAGUUCAGGAGUAUUAGACAUAGAGUGCCUAUUCUUGAUGGGGAGUUUUGUGGUUCUUGGAAAAAAUGAAAUGCUUGAGAUCUUCAGUGAAUAUAAUUUGAGAAGUAUAUUCUUAGCUCUUAUGUGCCUCCCAUUGAUCCUUUACAUCCUACCCCCAAUGAGUAUCUUGACAUGCUUCACAAUCUUAGAACUAUUAAUAUUAUCAUUAGAGGAUUGCCUAGAAAUGAGCUUGUUUGGUUGCAAAACUUUAAAUGCGCAUACACUAUAUGGAAUUACCUUGAGGAAUGCUUGCCAAACUAUUCCUUGAAAAAUAUGAAUGAAAUUCCUCAAAGGUCCAUUGCUUUUCACAAGAUGAAGCCUAGUGAUCCCAAGUUUGAUGAAUGUCUAUUUGAGCUCCAUGACCUUAUGCGUGUUAAGGGUGAUGUUGGAACCAUUAGCAACAUCAUCACGGAAAAAAUUAGAAUUCAUAAACUUGCACAUUGGCAUGGUCAUAAAUCUAACAAAUCACUUGAACUAGGUGAUUAUCACAUGCAUAAUGAUGAGAUUGAGCAUGGUUAUUAUGAUGAGGAUGAAGAAUUCGACAUCGAGUGUGAGAAUACUAUGAGGAAUCUUAGUCUCAUGGAAAAUCUUCAAAAUUACAUAUCCAUAGGAAAAGAGUGGAUUCUUGAUAGUGGAUGUACCGAUCACCUGGCCGGAGAUAAAGACAUGUUCCCUGAGCUUGCCGAAAAUGAUGGUCGACGUAAGUAUGUGACUUUUGGAGACAACUCCAAGGGUAAGGUACUUGGCCUUGGUAAGGUGACUGUCGUGGUUUUGUCAUGGCAGAUGUCCUAAUGUGAGGACUUAGUCAUGAGGCCAUCGCAACUAGGAGGUUAGCUUGUUGGGGUUGAGCGGAAUCGAGAGACACGAAUUUACCCAGGUUUGGACCCUCAGGAUCGGGGUAAUAGCCUACUCCUGCUUGUUUGCUCAUUGCUUUAGAUAUCAAUAGAAGGGAACAAAUUGUUUGACCUAGCUAUUGUUCGAUUGUAACUUAGUCUAUCUGUCCCUGAGACCCGCCUUUAUAUACAGGUCGAGACCCAAGGCUUUCAAGAGUCCGGGUCACAUUACAAUCCGUGACUUAGUAUGUAUCUAACUUGUCCCUUAAGGAAACUAUUGACGACUUAGACCUCAAGGCCGCAAGCCACCGUCUUCGGAUGUUAGGCUUGAGCCGGCCCACUCCAUGAGCCUCCCAACUGGUCUUGCUUCGGGGUGCCUUGGCCCAUCUUAAGUCCUGCUCCUUAGCCGCCAUCUGGAUGACCCGACCCAAACAUGGCGGGUUAUAUCCCCAACAUUAGGCCCCAGAUUGAUUUGAAUUUAUUCAUGUCAAUCUCCAGCACUCAACCAGGCGGUUUAUCUUCUGGCCCGGUCCUCAUCUUCUUCGGGUCAUAAAAUGCCACCUUAUAAUACUUCUAGACUUGUUAUUUUUCACAUCUCCUCAUUGCUGACGUCAUGUCCAAAAAUCAAGGGAAAUCCAAGAUGACAUCACACAGGAUCUUUGUGCAUAUCCAAUUAUCCCGAAAAUUGAGGCAUCUUGGGCUCCAAAAGUUACUAUGCUCCCUUGUUUCUCGCGGCUACCAUUUACUCUUCGGUUUCUUUAUCUUAUAAAUAGAUGCGGGGCCCCUCUUUUCAUCUUUUACCUCACCCCCAUUCGCCUCUUCUUCUUCCUUGAGCUCCUUCACGUCAGACCACCACCAUCGCAAUUCGCUUGUCGUGAGCCAACCGGUCUGGGACCUCUACGCCGUCCUGCCUCCGCCGGAGCUUGGUCGAACAAUCUCACCGCCCUUCUCAGCCAUCAAGGUACACUAUCCUUCCCUCCUUAGAUCUAUAUAGUUUGCUCGGUAGUUCGACUGAGUUCAUCGGAUUCCAUCCAUCACCAUUGCUAGUUUAGGCAUAGUUAUAAUGAGAUUUCCUCACAAAAACAUGACAGUAUGAGCAUCGACACCAUUUUCGCAUCCGGCUAUUUUAGAUCUCCUUUAAGAAAACCAAUAAGCUAGGCAACUUCUGUUCCAAUGCUUCGUCCUAGGUUUAGCAAUAUCUUUGCUUUUUAGACUGUUAUGUAGAUCCAACAUUUCAACUACUCCGGUAGAAACUUGUUUGUAUCACACUUAGAAGAAAUCUAGAAAACCCUCCAUUUAAUAUGAAACGCCUUUAUGCAGUCUGGCGGCUCAUCAUUGUGAUCGUAACCCGCUAGAUAUUUUAAGAUAUUUUAAUCUGCCCGGGUCAAAAUUCUUUCGGGAUGUCUUAAGCUAUUUUAACCUUCAUUCUCAAGACCUUGCUCCAAACUCCAUCUCUAAUAUGUGCCAAUUUCAAAUUGUGUGCGAGGUGUAUCUUCAAAUGGAACCCACCGAUCCUCUCUUUAAAGAAUUCUUCUAUAUCAACCGCCAAACAGAAUUUACCGAUGGCCCUUAUCUAGAACUCAGCGGAGUCUGAAUUCAAAGACAGAGAGAUGGUUGCUUUCCUCUAAUCAUCCUUCCAAGUCACCCCAAAGGAUGGAUAAAAACUUGGUUCUACUACAGAAACACAACUGUAGCUAGGGAGAAUCCUUGCUGGGUUAUAGACCUGAAUGUCUUCCUAUGGAUUUUGAUGUUCCUAGAUGGGUUAUUCCAUAAGAGCAUGCUCAAACCGCCCUGGCUUAUACAAAUCUCAGAGCCUUGCUAGCUGAUGGUUUGACCGAGGUUGAUAUAACCCGAUGUUGGGUCACCUGGAGGAUCUUACCAUUGAGUUGCCGUAGUGGUCUAAUGUGCAAUUAUUCCAGCGGUUUAGAAGACCCCCAAUGAUGCAUCAAUGUUGAUCUUGAUGCUGAUGAAAUACCUAAGAUUGUGAAGAAAUUACUUGGAGAGUCUCAAGACGCCUGCAACAAAGUGGGGCUGAACCCUUUCUGCAAACUUAACCCGACACCUCUAGUAAGUAUAUACAUAAUCAUUUGUCAUGCUUAUCAGUCUUUAUCUAUCCAGUGUUUUCACUUGCUGGCUUUGUUCAAUUAUGCAGGACGAUUCUCCCUUUUGGAAGAGGAAGAAAAUGCAGGUGACCAAGACAAAGACUACGCCGGAUCAGAGGAAGAAAAAGUCUACUGCUGCGGAUGAGCCGAUGGCUAGGGGCGAGACGCCACAAGCUGACAAUCAGUUAGAGGUAGAGCUGACUCCCUUGGCCAUCUCUUUAUUGAACUUGCUGAUGCCUCUUAUUCUCAAGGUGAGGUCGCAACAAGCCGGGCUGAUGAUGUUGAGGCAAUUUCCAUCUCCUCCGGCUCAGAAUCCUUGCCUCCCAAGAUCACUAGGUGGGUUAUCCGGAAAGUAAGCUUUUCUCAUCCAAAUGCUCAUUUAGACCUCAACUUUAUUUUGAAGAAACCUUAGCAUGACUCGAUGCGCCUAACUUUGAGUGGUGGCUCUGGAGAUCUGGUGGCUAGGUUAACUCAUGAACCACCUGCUCGCAAGUGGCGUGAUGAGGUGCCACACAGUCCAACUCCUUCUUUACCCAAAGCCGGCCUUGUGAGGAAGCCUCUUAAUCCUUCUAACUCAAAUUAUCAGGAGUCAUCACCCUCAUCCGACGAGUCAACCGCUUCGAAGCUGCCACCUCUUGUUAUUAAUAAAGGGUAAAAUUCUUUUAUAUCAUGUACCACUUAAUUUUUAUUAGAAUCGCAUAUAUCUUGAUUGCACUGCUUUGUUCACAGGGCCAAGGCUAAGAGCGAGAAAAGAAAAGUAGGAAAGUCUUCAAUAAACCCAGACAUUCCCGAGUCAGAGAAUCAGACCUUGGUGACCCCUGAGGCCCAUGCUGAUAUUUCUGAAGGUCGUCAUGUCAGUCAUGUUGAGCCGCCGCAGCAAAAUGAAAUGGCUGGAACUAAGGCUAUGGAUACCGAAACCAACCCGGUGAACAACCUUAACCCGCCAAGUCAUGCUCCGACUCUGAAUCCCACCAAGCCAACUCAAGAUGUUCCUCUUGAAAAGGAUAACGAUGAAGUUACCAUUAUGGGUGAGGCUUAUAAACCUCCAGAGGUAUCCAAUGUGCUAACCAAGACAACAACCAAAAUUGAAGCGCCCUUGUCUGAAAAGGGGAAAACCAAACUUGAACUGCCCAUCUAUGAAGAGUUCAGCGCAGAGGAAUUACAUGCAGGCUAUCUGAGCCGCCUCUCUAUGAACCAGGAUCUGGAAGCCGACUUGGUCAGCAUAAUGAAAUGAAAACAUGAGGUACACUCAUCUUUUCCAGUAUUAUAUAUAUCCUGAUGUAGCCCCCAAGUCUUAAUCAUAGGAAGACUUGAGUAUGUUUAAGACUUAAAUAUAAUUCCGUUGAUCUUGCAAUGUAGACCCCAAGGGUCGGGUUAUCAUGCCAUUGAUGAGCCAGUUCUUUCCAAUAUAUCCUUUAUGAAAAGAAAUGUCAUGUAGCCCCAAGGGCCGGCUCAUCUUCAUGAGAUGAGUCGGAUCUUUCCAUAGUAGUAUACUUUGAGGAAUUAACCUGUAGCCCCAAGGGCCAGCUCAUAUUUAUGAGAUGAGCCGGGUCUUUAAUAAGACUGUGAAGAACUAACCUAUACCCCCAAGGGUCGGGUCAUGUUCUUGAGAUAAGAUGGGUCUUCUUGUAUUCUUUAAGGGAGAAAAAUGAGAUGCAUUAGCCCCCAAGUGCAAAGUAUAUUGCUUGCAAUCUGCUUGGGACUUCUCUUUUGAAAGUGAAUUGGUAUAGCCCCCAAGUACCGAGUUAGACAUUGUUGCCCUCUUACUUCAACAUGUGUUAAAUGACUUAUCUCCUUGUUAUGCAGGAGGCUCUAAGCAUGGCCGAGUCAAAUUUGACCGGCUUAAGAAAAGACUUUGAAUCUGAGCAGGCUAUGAAGCAAGGCUGAAUCAAGCUUGCAAUCCUCCCUGGAGGAGUUGGAGAAAAUCAAGGUGGACUUUGAAACAGAGAAGAAUUCCUUUGAAACUGAAAAAGUUGCCUUGAUCCGACAUGCAAAAGCCGCCGAAAGCCAAUUGGCACCGGUCACUGAGGAGUUGGCCGGGUUAAAGUGCCAUAUUACUCAAAUGACUCAAGCUAUAUUUGGUAAGUCGUCUCUCAAAUUACAAAGAAACAUUAACUCUGGCAACUCAUCCAUGAGUAACAUCUCGCCCGACAACUCAUCCAUGAGUAAUAUCUCGCCUGGUGACUCACAUAUUGCAACUUCUGUGCCGGUGAUAGAACCUUCCAGCUCCAAGACAACGUCAUGAAGCUGAAAGCCGUAUAUUUGUUGGUAGAGAAAUUAUAUGCUGGAAAUAUGCAGACCCUGAGAGCUGUAAUGGGUGAAAAAGACUUGCCACAAUUCAUAAAAGAUGUUUUGAAGAGGCUGUCAACUAUUCCAUAGCAGGUCAAAGAGCUAAAAAGAUUACCCGCCCGAUCAGGAGCCACAACCGCGCUAAGCUGGGCUAUGGCUUACUCACCAGAGCUGGAUCUGUCAGAGAUGGCCGGUGGGUUCCCAGAAUAUAAAGACGAUGGGACUGCUUUUACUCAUGAUGAUUACGCACGUCGUGUAAAGGAAUCUUGAGUACUGGUGAGUUAGCUUGUCGCCGGCAUGGAACUUAGGAAAUAUCAGCCGACUUAUGAUGGCAAUAACAUGAGAAUUCCGUCACCAACACUGAUAUCAUCUGAUCCGACUCCACAAUGAAGUAAGUAUCGCUUUGUACCUAACGUUGACCCAUCUCCUAUCUUGCACGGCGAAGCUGUCUUCCAAGCCUUAACAUAUGUCAACUGGCAUCUGGACCCUCAGUUCCAAGAAGCAGAAGAGCCGGGUGUAGGGUAACCCGGCGGCGUCAACUUCUCGGGGUCAUCAAGGGGCUAACCCGGAUGGCACAGAGGCCAGCUUACAAGAGUAGUUUAUACUCUGGCAAAAAACUUCGAAUAUUCUAGGCUCACCUAUAGCUAUGUAAUAGGCUUAGCGGAAAUACUGUGUUGCUCUUGUCAUGCCUUCGUGCACGUUGAACUUUUGUUCAAACAAUUAUCCAUCCGCCAUUUUAAAAUGUUUGUAUUAGUGCAUGCUUACCUGACCUGUCAUGGGCGUCUUGUGUUUGAAUAUCAUGCAGCCAUUGCUUUCAAUUCUUUUCAUAAGUCGCUUGUAGCAACCUGUAAGUGCAGAUACCUCUGACAUGUGCAAAAAAUUCCACCAAGUCAUAACUGGUGUGUGAUGUCUACUACGCAACUUUAUUCUUGUAGACACGUGAUGGGCCUCCAAGUGUAGAGUUUUGUAGGACAGUAGCAAUUUUCCCUCAAGUGGAUGACCUAAGGUUUAUCACUCCGUGGGAGGUGUAGGAUGAAGAUAGUCUCUCUCAAACAACCCUGCAACAAAAUAAUAAAAAGUCUCUUGUGUCCCCAACACACCAAAUACAAUGGUAAUUUGUAUAGGUGCACUAGUUCGGCAAAGAGAUGGUGAUAUACGUGUAAUAUGGAUAGUAGAUAUUGAUUUUUAUAAUAAAAACAAUAAAAAACAGCAAGAUAGCAAUUGAUAAAACGGAGCACAAACGGUAUUGCAAUGCUUGAAUAUGAGGCCUAGGGUCGGUACUUUCACUAGUGCAAUCUCUCAACAAUGCUAAUCUAAUUGGAUCACAUAACCAUCCCUCAAUGUGCGAUGAAGAAUCACUCCAAAGUCCCUAUCUAGCGGAGAACAUAAGAAGAAAUUGUUUGUAGGGUACGAAACCACCUCAAAGCUAUUCUUUCCUAUCGAUCUAUCCAAGUGUUCGUACUAAAAUAACAACAAAUAAUUUCAGAUUCAUAAUACUCAAUCCAACAUAAAGAACCUCAAAGAGUGGCCCAAGAUUUCUAGCGAAGAAAUAAAGAAAAGAAUGUGCAUCAACCCCUAUGCAUAGAUUACCCAAUUGUCACCUCGGGAAUCCGCGAGUUGAGUGACAAAACAUAUAUCAAGUGAAUCAACACGGUACCCCAUUUUCACCAUGGGUAUUCAUAUGCAAGACAUAUAUCAAGUGCUCUCAAAUCCAUAAAAGUAUUCAAUCUGAUAAGAACGAAAUCUCAAAGGGAAAACUCAAUUCAUCACAACAAGAUAGAGAGGGGAAAACACCAUAUGAUCCAACUAUAUUAAGAAAGCCCGCGAUACAUCAAGAUCAUGACAUCUCAAGAACACGAGAGAGGGAAAUUGAACACAUAGCUACUGGUACAAACCCUCAGCCCUGAGGGUGGACUUCUCCCUCCUCCGGCGGAUGCCAGGAUGAUGAAGAUGGCCACCGGUGAUGAUUUCCCCCUCCGGUGGAGUGCCGGAACAAGGUCUAGAUUGGUUUUUGUGGCUAUAGAGGCUUGGGGUGGCGGAACUUAUGAUCUAGGGUUUCCUUCGGAGGUUUUGGAAUAUUUGGGAAUUUAUAGGGCGAAGAGGCGGUGCGGGAGACCACCGAGUUGGGCACAGCCCACCAGGGCGCACCUGGGCCUCCAGGCGCACCCAGGUGGGUUGUGCCCCCUCGGGCACCCCUCUUGUACUUCUUUGGCCCACUGGAUGUCUUCUAGUCCAAAAAAAUCUCCAAAAAGUUUCACCGUGUUUGGACUCCGUUUGGUAUUGAUUUUCUGCGAUGUAAAAAACAAGCAAAAAGCAACAACUGGCACUGGGCACGAUGCCAAUAGGUUACUCCCAAAAGUGAUAUAAAGUUGCUAUAAAAUGAUUGUAAAACAUCCAAGAAUGACAAUAUAACAACAUGGAACAAUACAAAAUUAUAUAUACGUUGGAGACGUAUCAACCUCCCCAAGCUUAAUUCCUGCUUGUCCUCGAGUAGGUAAAUGAUAAAAACAGAAUUUUUGAUAUGGAAUGCUGCCUAACAUGUUCAUCACAUAUUCUUUUCUUUUGUAGCAUGGACAUUUGGACUUUUAUAUGGUUCAAAGCAAUAGUAUAGUUUUGACAUGAAGAUUUCAAUACUCAAGCAUAUCAACAAGGAAUCAUGUCUUACAAAAUAUCAAUACUAAAGAAAGUUAUCCCUAGCCCAUCAUGCUUAAUCAUUGAUCCAUUCAUGAAACACACUCGCAUAUUAGCUACAUCCAAUGCUCAAGUAUGAUCAUAGUGCCCCUUAGUUGGUGUUUUAUGAGAGAAGAUGGAGACUCAAAUAAAAAUAAAAAUUGCAUCAAGUAAAUAGAAAGGCCCUUCACAAAGGGAAGUAGGGAUUUGUAGAGGUGCCAGAGCUCAAAGCAAAAAAUGAGAGAUAAAACAUUUUGGGUGGCAUGCUUUUCCUAUCAACGAAAAUGAUCGAGUAGUUCCCAAUACUUUCCAUGCUAGAUAUAUCAUAGACAGUUCCCAAAUAGAAAAUAAAGUUUAUUCCUUGUCCACCAUUCUUUCAGAUUCCACGGCUAGCGGAAUCCACGGGUACCGUCCAUACUAACACUUUCCAAGGAAUUUAUUAUUUGACAACAUAAAGUAAUUUUCUUUUCAUCCCGGGACUGGGCAUCCCUAAUACCUUUGUCAUACUCUCGUGCAAUGACAAGUGAAUAAACACUCAUCUUGAGAAUAACACAUCUAGCAUGGAAAAAUAUCAGCCACCCCCUACCAUUUCAUGAGCGGUACGAGCACACAAAAAGGAAAUUUAUUUUGAAGAUUAGAGAUGGCACAUACAAAUUUGCUUAGAACGGAACUGAAAUACCGCAUAUAGGUAGGUAUAGUGGACUCAUGCAGAAAAAAUGGGUUUAAGAAUUUUGGAUGCACAAGUAGUAAUCAUACUUAGUACAAGUGAAGGCUAGCAAAUAGAUUGAGAAGCAACCAACCAAGAAACAAAAAAUCACAUAAACCUGCAUUGAGCAUAACUAACACUGAAUAAUGCACCACAAGCAGGAUGUAAUUUCAUUGCAUAACUAUUGACUUUCAUGCUUGCAUAGGGAAUCACAAACCUUAACACCAAUGUUCUUACUAAAGCAUAAUUACUCACCAACAUGACUCACAUAUCACUAUCAUCAUAUCUCAAAACAAUUACAAAGAAUCAAGUUUAUUUUUCCCAAUGAUCUUCAUGAAAGUUUUUAUUAUAUCCCUCUUGAAUAUCUAUCACUUUGGGACUAAUUUCAUAAGUUUCUUUUAUAAGCUCAAACAAAUUUAAGUGAAGAACACGAGCAUAUGACAAACUACUCCAAAAAGAUAUAAGUGAAGAUCAAGCGAGUAGUUAAGUGAAUGGGUAGCUAAUUGAGGACUCUCUCUUAUUUAAAAAAAAUUCAGAUCUAAGUAUUUUAUUAAAACAGCAAGCAAAACAAAAAAAUGACAUUCCAAGAAUAGGACAACUCAUGUGAAGAAGCAAAAACUUAGGCUCAACCGAUACUAAUCGAUAGUUCUCGAUGGAGAAAGGUGGGAUGCCUACCGGGGCAUCCCCAAGCUUAGAUGCUUGAGACUUCUUGAAAUAUUAUCUUGGGAUGCCUUGGGCAUCCCCAAGCUUGAGCUUUUGUGUCUCGUUAAUUCCUUUUAUAUCACGGUUUCCCUAAAUCUUAAAAACUUCAUCCACAUAAAACUCAACAAGAACUCGUGAGAUAAGUUAGUAUAAAUCAAUGCAAAACCUUAUCAUUCUCUACUGCAGAAAAUCACUAAAAUUAUAAUUUAAGAUUUUAUACUAAACUAGUAAAUGUGCCCGCGCGUUGCUACGGGUCGUUGUCGACAAGGGACAUAGAUGAUGGUCAAGAAGCCUCACUCUCACUCGAUGUCAUACUGCCACCCCUCCUACAGCUACUACGUUCAGGUGGAAGAACUGUGGUUGGAUAGGGAGGGAUAGGGAGGAGUACUUGGAGAAGUUUGAACAAAUGCCUUCGUUAUUAAUUCUAGUCUUGAAUGAUGCAUCGGUGUAACCUUCAUUUGUAAAUGUUCAAAAGAAACAUCUUGAGUGCUCUCAUAAAGCAUGAUUAUCUCUAUAUCAAUUCUUAAAAUGGGAGAGUCACCUUUGUGAAUUCGGGUCAACUCAUAAAUGUAGUGAUUGUAAGGGACACUUGUGUGCUUGCUAAGAUAUACAACCAAGGGUGGAGCCAGCUCAUUGCCAUUGGGUUCAAAUGAACCCAACAAAAAGAAUUAUAUUCCUUAUGAAAUCACGGUGGCUUAAGGCUAAGGAAAGAAACCCAUUGGUUGGAGCUACUACAAAUUCACACACCCGAGCUGAAACCAUUUUAUGUAAGAAAUGUGUGUCCUGGCAAGCUCCAAAAGAGUUUAUAUUCGGUGAAGGACACAAACAGCACCAAACCUAAUGGUGCGUGUACAUUGUAAACUUUAUGCAUAAGGUAACACACAUGAAUAGAUUUAGCAUGAUUACUGCACUCCCAACUUUUUCAUGGUUGCCCAACAAAGAAAAUGAAAAAUUGUGUUUCGAUCCUAUUAGGAACUCUCCAAGUUCUAUCAUUAAAUAAUAUCCGAACACUGCUCGUAAGUAAAUUAAAAAUGCUUUCACUACCACAAGGAUAGGUCCAACAUCAAAGAGUUUCCUUUUCACUUCCCCAAUCAAAAGCAACAUAUACUCGCUAAUUCAGUUCAGCAAUAACAGUAAGCUAUGCCAAUCCCUUACAGUUUAUAGCUAGCAGAAUAGACUAUGAUAUCCUACAGAUCUAUCUUGUGUAAAGAAAUAGGUCUUCCAAAUUAAGUAGUGGACUAAAUAUUGAAUUAUUGUUUAUGCUUUUUGGAGUCGGUGACUUGCUAAAUUCCCCAUGUUGUCCAAUUUCUGGAGUGACUUUGCUUUAGUUAAUACAUGCAUCUACUUCUAGUUCUAGUCGGUAUAGUUGAUUUCCAAAAAGAAUGAAGUACCACAAUUUAGUCUUCUUGUCCUAGAAGCUACAACGAUGAAUUACAAAGCAAGAGAGAACAUAUGAUAUACGUCCAUGCCAUCGUGAAUCAGAAUGAUGAGGCUCUAUGCCUAAUUGACACAUUUCUAUGAGUCCAAACUAACCAAGGUCUUAUUAAUUCUGGGAUUCAUAAACUGGAAGCAUUGGGCUACGGUCUCAUCAAGCUUAUGUUAUUGUUUCCAAAGAAUAGAAUUGAACAGGCUCGCUAAAUUCAUUUCACUAUUAUGCAUCAGGAAUCCUUGUUAAAUGUACCUGUCUCUGCAUCUGGAGUGGGUGGUACAGAUUAAGUAUUCAAUAAAAACAUGUUUAUCCACCCGGAGUCCUUGGUCCUUGUAAGAACUUCAGUUUGUGAUAAUUUCAGUGAAACGAUCGUAAAUCUUCUGAAAGUAAGAUAUAAAUAAGGGAUAUGAAGAGGGGAAAAAGCAUAUACACUAAUUUUGAAUGUAAAUAACUCUUCAAAAUUAAGUAAUUGCUUAAAUACUAUAGAAAAAAUGCACUUUCAAAGCUGGUGACUUGCUAACUUCCCUCUCAUCCUGCUACCAGUCAAUAGACUGUGUGAAAUAAAAUAAAAGAAACAACUGAACCGCACGUGCUACAUAUGCGGUAUACCUCUGGACAUAUGCCAAGAUGCAACUAAAUUGCAGUACAUUUUUCUGCUGUGGUGCGGUAUACCUCUGGAUAUAUGCUAAAAUGCAACUAAAUUGCAGUACAUUUUUCUACUAUGGUUCAAGCUGCAUGUUUCCUACUUCCUACCUCAGCCAAAGAAAUAGUUUCAAGUCAGUUCUACCUAGCUGCAUUGCCUAUGUCUGAAACCCAAUAUACGAUUGAUAUUCCCAGCUACAUUGUCUAUGUCUAAAAACCAACAUACGAUUGCCUUAUGUGCUAGAUUCUCAAGAGAAGUUUUAUUCUCAUUUCUGUAGGAAAUAGAAACAUUAUUACAUAAUGCUCAAGUGGUGCAGAACUGAAGAAUGCAUAAUAAGUUGCAGUACAUUGGGCAACAGAGAAGCUAUGCAUUGGGUAUUAUUUAUCUUCUGAAACUAUAGUACAUACCUUAGGUGAAGCAUGGUAAGACAGAGUUCCAGUGAAGGGUGGAGCACGAGCAGACAAUGUUCCUGCGAAGUUGCCGGAACGGUGAGAUUAGAUGUAUGUCGCAUGUGGCUCGGUCAUUCAGUAGUAUCUAAGGGCCACAUCAGGGACUUCAUCAUGUACAACUUCGUCGAAUGUCGGAGUUCCGCACUUCACCCAUCUGGAAGUGGAGCCGAGGGGACUCGUGCCAUCCCUCAACAUGGGACAUCAGCCAGGUGGCCAGGUUGGUGACGAUGUAUCUCUCACAUUCAUCUCGUACGGCCAAUAUCUCAUCGUGUCCAAACAAUUAAUCUCCUCAUGCCUAAAUCAUCUUAAGCAUACUGCACAAAGACCAAGGUGAACAUUUGAAAGUUCAGUUACUUCUAGUGAUGCUUCACAUAGCAAGCAAUAAUAUCCUAUGACCAUGCUUGCAUAUCAUGAAUCCACGAGGUUGGUCAAUAGCUCAUCUUGUCUAGCUCAGCUUUGACUUGAGUUUGUCAUAGUCACUAAACUUUGACAAUCCACAGAUCUAUCAAGUACAACAUCUUGCUUAUGAAACCGCAAUACCAUGGAAUAUAUCAUAUGAAUUAAUCUCAUGAAGUUGCUGCUGGAAGCGUGUGAACCAACAAAUAAGCUAGACACAUCCGCAAAAAUCAGCCAACGCUCAACAAAGUAGAGCUAGAUUAAUGAAGUUUGACAGGAGGCCUAAGAUUUGGGGGAGCCCAUGGACGGAAGAUGCAUAUGUGAAGGGAAAGAAGUUGAGAUCCGACAAGACAGGCCGCCAGCCAUACAUGGACAAAUGGAUCCUUCGACCAUUCGAUUCACUGCUGCUGGGUGUGGAGCAUGUUGUGGCGCUCGUGGACGCCGACGACAGCGUGUACCACCACACGCUGGAGGAGGCAAGGUUCUCACCGCCGCGCCCUCUCUACUUUCCUCUGUCCCCCUCUUUCUUGAUCCAGGCCAAGAAUGAAGGAGGGAUGUACUGGGGCCGCCGGAGAAGCACCGGCGCAACUCUACCCGAAACCCUAGCCAUGGGGUGGGGUUGCGAGCGGGUCGGUAGAGGCCAAGAGCGGAGAAUCUGGCCGGAAGGGAGGAAGGCGCAGACUGUGGGGAGCUCGGCGGAAGCGCCCGACGUGGGUGGUGGCGGCGGCCAUGACUUCGUGGGGGAUAGGAACAGGAGGCGAGCCCGUGCUCCUUGUGUCGUCGUUUAUUUAGAAAUCUGUUCGGACCAAGAAAGACGGACCAAGGCCCAACUGGAUCGUAGCCCAGCUAAGCGAACAUAGCAGUCAAUCGAGUCGAUAAUAUUGCAGAGACAAAAUUUAGUACCACCCCGAAUAUGUUUUAAAUUAAAACUGAAAGCGUAAAAUCACGGGAAGAAGCAUAUUGUGACGAUGAACCCACGGAGUCAAUCCAUUCUUUAUUAUUAGGGAAAGAUGCCUUUGCAUAUUUAAUACUCCUAUCCUCAAAUAGAAUCGUUAAACAAGCAAACAUAUGCAAACAAUGCAAACAUAACAACAAUAUGCUAAAACAUGACACUCUGUAAAGAAUGCAAGAGUAUCAAUACUUCUGUAACUCAAAAAAUUCUGAAAAUUUACCACACUAUAGAAACUUUAUCAUAGCUUAUUAUGUAAAAAAUCAUUAUUCUAUCACAUUCUCACUUUUCUCGGGAAUUGUUUCAACAAUGAUAAACUUUCUGUUUUGAAACAGCAACAUGUAGACUUGCAAGAUAAGCAUGGUAAAGGCUAUCCUUGACAUUUUUAUUGAAAUAAAAGAUGCAAAACGUUAUUCUAAAUAACAACAAGCAAAUCCUAUCAAAAGCAAAUGACGCUCCAAGCAAAACACAUCUCAUGUGACGAAUGAAAACAUAGCCUCAAGUAAGGUUACCGAUAAUGUUGGAGAUGAAAGAGGGGAUGCCUUCUGGGGCAUCCCCAAGCUUAGUUUCUUGGAUCUCCCUUGGAUAUUAACUUGGGGUGCCUUGGGAUUCCCCAAGCUUAGGGUCUUCUCACUCCUUAUUCUCCUCAUAUCAACAUCUCACCCAAAACUUGAAAACUUAAAUCACACAAAACUUAAUGGAACUUCAUGAGAUAGGUUAGUAUGAUAAAGAGCAAACCAUUUCACUUUGGUAUUGUCAAAGACAAGAUUCAUUAUUAUUUCCACAAAAUACCUACUGUACUUAUCAUUUCCACAAUUUAUAUUGAGCAAUAUAAUCCAUAGGAACUAGGAAACAAGCAAACUAUGCAUUGAAAACAAAAUUUGUCAAAAAACAGAACAGUCUGUAUUGAUCUGGAUAACUACCAUACUUCUACUACUCCAAAAUUCUGAACAAUUAGGACAACGCAGGCAAUUUUUUUGUCAAUCAUCUGUUAAAAUUUGAGAAUUUUAUCACGUUCUAGUGAAUUUAAACAAUUUUGUUUCUGGAAGCAAAAGUUUUUGUUUUUUGCUCAGAAUCAAGUCAACUAUCAUCCACACUAUCCGAAAGGCUUUACUUGGCACUUUAUUGAAACAAAAGCUAUAAAACAUGAUUAAUACAGUAGCCUAAUCAUGUGAACACACAAAAAUAAUAGGUAAAAGUGUUGGGUUGUCUCCCAACAAGAACUAUUCUUUAAUGCCUUUGAAGCUAGGCAUGAUGAUUUCAAUGAUGCUCGCAUAAAAGAUAAGAAUUGAAACAUAAAGAGAGCAUCAUGAAACACAUGGCAAGCACAUUUAAGUCUAACCCACUUCCUAUGCAUAGGGAUUUUGUGAGAAAAUAAUUUAUGGGAGCAAGAAUCAACUAGCAUAGGAAGGCAAAACAAGCAUAACUUCAAAAUUUUCAACACAUAAAAAGGAAACUUGAUAUUAUUGCAAUACCUACAAGCAUAAGUUCCUCCACCAUAAUAAUUUUCAGUAACAUCAUGAAUGAAUUGAACAAUAUAACUAUCACAUAAAGCAUUCUUUUCAGGAUACAUAAGCAUAGAAAUUUUGUUACUCUCCACAUAAGCAAAUUUAUUCUCAUCAAUAGUGGUGGGAGCAAAUUCAACAAAAUAACUAUCGUGAGAUUGAAAAUUAAAAUCAUGAUGACAAGUUUCAUGGUUAUAAUUAUUCAAUAUAGCAUACAUGUCAUCACCAUAAUCAUCAUAGAUAGCAACUUCUCAUAUAUAACAAUCAAUUGAAACGUCUUCCGAAAUAGUGGAUUCAUCAUUAAAUAAAGUCAUGACCUCACCAAAUCCACUUUCAUCGAUAUAAUCAUCAUAAAUAGGAGGCAUGCAAUCAUUAUAACAAAUUUUCACAUCAAAUAUUGGGGGACUAAAAAUACCAUCUUCACCAAAUGUUGCAUCCCCAAGCUUAUGGCUUUUCAUAUCGUUAGCAUAAUGGAUAUUCAAAGAAUUCAUACUAACAACAUUGCAAUCAUGCUCAUCAUUUAUGCCAAACAUUUUUAUAGAAUUCUUCUUCUAUCAAUUGAGCACAAUUUUCUUUUCCAUCAUUUUCACGAAAGACAUUAUAAAGAUGAAUAAUAUGAUGCAACCUGAAUUCCAUUUUUUGUAGUUUUCUUUUUAUAAACAAAACUAGUGAUAAAUAAUAAACUAAAAGGUUCAAUUGCAAUAUCUAAAGAUAUACCUUCAAGCACUCACCUCCUCGGCAAUGACGCUAGAAAAGAGCUUGAUGUCUACUACGUAACUUUAUUCUUGUAGACACGUGUUGGGCCUCCAAGUGCAGAGCUUUGUAGGACAAUAGCAAUUUUCCCUCAAGUGGAUGACCUAAGGUUUAUCAAUCCGUGGGAGGCGUAGGAUGAAGAUAGUAUCUCUCAAAGAACCCUACAACCAAAUAAUAAAAAGUCUCUUGUGUCCCCAACACACCACUAGUAGAAAAUAGGGCUUUGGUCCAGGUCGGGCCAGCCCAUUGGUCCCGGUUCAGUCACGAACCGGGACCCAUGGGGGCAACGGUCCCGGUUCAUGAGGCCAGGGGGCCGGCCGAACCUCAUGGGGAAUUGGUCCUGGUUCGUCUGGACCCUUUGGUCUCGGUUCCAGACAUGAACCGGGACCAACGGGCCUCGCUCUUGGCUCACAACCGUUGGUUCUGGUUCGUGGCUGGAACCGGGACCAAAGUCCCCUUUGGUCUCGGUUCCAGCCACGAACCAGGACCAAUGAGAUGCCUAUGUAUACCCCCUCGCCCGCGAGCAGAGUAGUGGAGUGCUCGGUUUUUCUGGCCAGCCGUGGGAGAGCUUUGUGGUUCUCUAGCUCACCUCCUAUGAACAUGAGGUGUUCGAUGAAAUGCCCAAGCCACACUUAAGCUUUCUCCGCUCAAAGCUCCUUGUCCAAGCUCCAUUUUCCUCGAGAUUUUUCUAGGUUGGGCAGUCCGUCCUCUCCUGUCCCCGUCCUCACCGCCGUCGAUCGCCCGCGCCGAUCUUGUCGCCGGCACCACCGUGGUGAGCCUCUUGAUCUUAUGUUCUUUCUAAAAGAAAAAAGUUCUUACUUGUAUGAUUUACAUAGAUACUUGUGUACAUAUGAUGGCAGGACUGGUUUCUCAAGUUAAUGACGGAGCCUGUAAGCUAGCAUUUCUGCGCACUCUGCCCUGGAUAUAUAAAGUUUGUGCAGAGAUGACCCAAUGAACCAUCACCUUUUAGUAGAUAAGGAGGUUGUUUUUCUUUUCUUGCACUAGGUGCUCUAUACAGUCAAAUAGUUGGUUACAGGAGAAGUUCAUGUAUAGCGACAACAACAAAGUUCAUGUUGACAUAAAAUAAAGUCCAUGUAUAUGGAAGUUGAUGAUUGUUGUGUGUAUGCAGGGGGGCACACAAAAACCUGUGGCUGACAAGUUUUCCUGUUAUUUAGCCGCAACAAUCUUUCUUGACCUCUUUGACAAUCUUUUACCUUGCUAUAUCUUGCAGAUAGUCGAUUGAAGGGUGUUUUCCUUGAGAGUGGAACCUCAGAGGUAAUAAAAUACGGACAACACCUUCGACAUGGCAAUAUCUUCUUGCAACUUCUAUUGAACUUAAUACCAAGAUAGUAGCCAUUCUUUCAACUUCUGGACUUCAUUUGUAAGAACCAUUCUAGUUUCCUAACAACAUCUCUGCAAUAUUUU
rnacentral:lncRNA from 1 species